UUUUUUUUUUUUCGUUUUUCACCGGUUAUCUUCUUCCUUGGGAGGAAGGAGGAGCUUGCGCCCACACAUGGGGCAGUGGCCUGGCCGGCGGCGUGCGUGAUGGGGUCUGCGGCGGGGAAGCGGUCUCUGACCAUGCAGGGGACUCGACGAUGUUGUGAGGCAGUGAAUCUCCAAUAGACAAUCCAUUCUGGCUGGACGCCAUUAUCUGCAUAUAAUAGCUGGUCGAGGAACGGUAAACAAGGGGAAAGAUAAAUAAAUCAGAACACUGGAACGAAUUGCUCUGUACUUCUGAUUGGAGAGGAGAAAGAGCAGCUCUGCGGCAAGGGGCCAGCGGCGCAGGACGGCUGGCGGACAGCGGCGCGCGACGAGACCGGCCGCCGCUGCUCCCGCAGACCGCCGCGCUUCCAUCCGCCGCCGGAGCUUCCAUCACCCGCGCCGGCCCUGCUCGGGCGGCAGUGCCUGCGAGGGGACGGCGGCCCUGCUCGGCUUCCCCGCUGUCAUAGAUUGAUAUUUGAGAGUGUACUCCAACAAAAUCAACCAGAGCCCUACCAACUACAUGGAAUUGGGCUGCUCCACAAAUUCGUAGAAUUAGGGUGUUUAGUUUGGAGUUGGAGUAAGGACAUGAAACUUCCAAAAAUUUGUACUCUAUUUUAAAAUGAGUUAUGUUAUUGAAUUUUAAAGAACCCAGGGUGAUCUUUGUGUUUAUCCUUCUAAAACCAUCGCAUCUCCUUAGUUUAUUACUGGGGUGGAAAUCAUUCUAACAGGAACGCUUGUUGCACGUUAGUACUCCAUUCAUUUCAAAUGGUACUGAGAUAUAUAUUAUGACUAAAAAUUGUAUACGAAAAGUCAAAAUCCGCUUAUAAUUUGGAAUUUUUUCAUACAUUUAUUUGUUGCACGUUACUAGGCCCGUUUUUUUUCUGUCCGAGGGCCGAGCAAGUCAAUAGGGCUGAAGGCCCACGACCACAUUCCAGAAUCCGAGCCCAACAGAAAUCGUGUCGGACUCGGACCGUUUCAACUCCCGAGCCCAAAUACGAACGCCCCUCGCCCAACGCUAUCUCCCAUGAUCCCAUCUCGUCGACGAGUCCGUCCUCUCUGACCCCACCACCACACACAUGGCCGCGCCCGCCGGCGGCGACUCCCGGCCCCUCCCGCCGUCGCCGUCUUCCAAGGGCAAGGCCAAGAUGGACGACGAGGCGGAGGCGGAGGGCUCGGGGAAGAUGUGCGGCAUCUGCUACGUCGACGGCCGGCAGGCCAUCCGCGGCGAGCUCGACUGCUGCGCCCACUACUUCUGCUUCGUCUGCAUCAUGGCCUGGGGCCGCGUCGAGUCCCGCUGCCCCUUCUGCAAGGCCCGCUUCCGCACCAUCCGCCGCCCGCCCGUCCCCGGCCGGUUCCCCGACGAGCGCAUCGUCACCGUCCCCGAGCGCAACCAGGUAACCAUUUAGUACCCUAAAUCUAAUCUAAUCUAAUCUCGCGAGUUUUUUUUGGAUCUCGUAUAGCUGUGCAGUAGAAAUUUCAUGUCCAGGACUGCAAAUUCCGGCAAAUUUUUCAUUGGUUAUGCCGUACCGCGUGCUAUUCCGCCCCUGUCAAUUUGCCAUGCCAGGACGCCAUGAAUUCUCCGCGGGACAACGCUGACGUGUUGUGCUGGUUGGUGCAGGUAUACCAUCCGCAGGGCAACGGGAGCAGCACGGUGGGCGUGGAUCCUUACGCGGAAACCAUCUGCACCGUGUGCAACGGCUCCAGGGACGACGAGCUGCUGCUGCUCUGCGAGCUCUGCGACGCGGCCGCGCACACCUACUGCGCCGGGCUGGGGACCACUGUGCCGGAGGGGGACUGGUUCUGCAAGGACUGCGCGACGGUCAGGGAGGAGCAGUUGAGGUGGCUGGCUGAGAAUGAGGGCCGGGGAGCUCAGGAUGAAUUUGAGGUCAGCAUCGAUGUUCUGAGAGCGGAGCCAGUUGCUGCCCCUUCUGUUCGUGAUGUUGUGGAUGAGUUGGAGUGUGAUCCAGACAGGGCUGGUGUGGGAAACGGUAGGCUUUCCAUGGAUGACCAGGUUCCUUCCAUUUAUGACAUUGUGGAUGAUGAUUUUCCUACCGUUGGGGGGAUCGGUAGGAGGCCUGGAAAGAACACUGAAGAUCUUCCAUCACAGGGUGCUUCAUCAGCUGGAUCUCAGCAUCCUGGAUUGACCAAGGGACGAGAUAAUGGUCUUGGGGCGUAUCAUGCUUGCAUCCGCCUUGAAGUUGAGAGAGCUAGAACACUACGCAACUCCCGCAAUCUUGAUAAGCGCAUAAGGGAGCUGCGGGAGAACUGGGCUGCCCUGCGUGAUGGUUCUGUGGGGUUUGCUCCACGUGUGCCUAAUGGAAGAGGGAAAGAUACUGGUUCCACUUCUGCUGCUACCGAUCAUCAGCGUCACCGUCAAACGACGCCUGCAACUGCCAGCUACAGAAAUGGUGCUCCUGCUACUUCUGCUCAGCAGCCAAGACCUUCCCCUGAGGAAACUAGUACCUCACUAGGACACAGUAAAAAAGUCUCGCACAAGGACGCUCGUGAUGCCCAUAAGGCAUGGAAAAGGUUGGAGAUCGCAAAAACUUCUGGUGGGAGGAAGAUAUCUAGCAAACCUGCCUCCCUUAGCUGCAGCACCCCAUUUUCCAUGGGGAACAGAUCAACUUCUUACAGUCCUAUUGAUUCAGUUUUGGGACAAAAGAAUGGUAACCUGCCUAAUAAGGUGUCUCAACACAAUAGAGCAAACUGUGGUCAGGGUACAGAAAUGGAAAGUACACCACCCACAGAAUACACAGCAGAACGCCGUAGCUUGCCUGAGGACAGACAUGCAUGGGUUCAUGAAAGGACAAUUUCUUUUUGGAAUCGAAUAAAUGAGGAAAGUCUAAAUGGUAAAGUUGACUCAUCAACUCAAGAUCAACAUGUUGAUCAACCGUUAGCAUCUUCAUGUAGUACAGGCGGAUUAGAGAAAUCCAAAUCAGGCAUGCUGCAUCCACUGAAGUGCAGUUCAUCAUCCGGUCAGUCCCCUGUGAUAUCAUCACUACAGUUGGGGCCUAGGGCUGGGAGCCAAUCUACUAUGAUGGUAAACCCUGAGGAACCCUCAGCUGUUUGUGCUGCAACAACCAAUGAAAUAGGUAGUGCUGCAACCACUGAAGUUAGAAAAAGUUCUAGAGCAGACCGUCAUGAGCGGAAGAGGAAACACAGUUCUGAAAAAUGCAGUGAUGAAGGACCCAAAAGAUCCAGGUCAGCCUGUAAAAUUGCAAAAAGUGAGAUUUCUUCGCUGGCUGUUCGCGAGCUGAAACUACUCAAGAUAGACAAGACGCAUGGUACACAUUCUCCUUCCAAUUCUUCUGUUCCCCAGCAUAUAACUUUUCUUUUGCUGUUACAUAUUUAAUCUCAUAAACCACUGUCUGUGAUACAGGCUCUGAAACCUUCAAGGAAGUUGCUCGGACAGCAACACAUACUGUCUUGGCUUCCUGCGGAUUUGAGCAUUCGCCAUCGCAGUCCCUUGCACUCUCAAGACUGGUCUGCAAGCACAGCCCCAAAGUCAAAGCGCAGAAGUCAUCAGCGAUAAUCGAUUCUUGCAGAGAAUGCUUGCAUAGCUCUGUGAAAGAAGCCAUCAGCUUAGCGUUGUUGGGUAGGCAUAUGGAUCAAACCGGUGCCUCCUGUUAGAUUCUAGACAUUUAGUCUUGAGAUUCUCUCUUGUCUGGUCAUUGUGAAUAUCGUACAGCACAAACUAGAGACAAGUUGUACAUUUCAUAUUUUCAUAGCAUGGCAAUACCAUCCUAUAGUGUAGUUGCUAGGUCUAAUCAGUACUGUAACAACUAACAUUCUCUUUAUUUUGCCAUGACCAUGGUGGUAGUACUGGGACCAAACAUUUUCAGGCUCGUGAGGUGUGGUUGGUGCACCUGGAGCACGGAAUGGGUCUCACAUCAUGACAUGGUUGGGUUGUAAAUGUUGGCUAUUAAUGGGUGGACAAAAGUCACUAGAUGAAGAAAAACUGGAUGAAACUUGGCAUAACUACUGAUCUCAAAUGUCUUGAUGCACUAGCUUUUGAUGGUUCAACUAAAGCCUUCCACUGAUAAGGAAAGCGAUGAAAGCACACAACUACUGCUGUUGCUGAGAUUUUGUAGUCUGUCUUGAUCCAAGCAAUACCUAAAGUAUUUGAACAAGUUGUGGCCCAACUUGCAGUGUGCAUCAUAUAUAAUGUGGAGCAAACAGUCAUGUUAUAUUAAGAACAUAAAAAAAGGGGUUGGUUGCAUCAGCAGUUAACAACUCAACUAAGGUCAAGCUUUCAUAAAAAGUGUCAAUAUAACCAAUAGAACAGCAUAUGUUGCACAUCUAUUCUGAUUUAUGAAUGGCACUAAACGAUUUAAGCUAGAGGGGACAUUUGCUAUUGCAACUGUCAAAAGGUGCUUUCACCUCCAAGCAAUUGUUGAGUCUGCCUAGAAGUUGCUUGGACAUCUGUAACCCUGGCCAUCCUACACUUGAAUUUUGAGCUGUCCUCCUCGCGAGGUUUGCCUACCACCGUCCACAGCCAUGUCCUUCCGACACCGGCGAGCCACCUUGUCGAGCCCCUGCCCCAUCCUACGUACAUCUUUUUUUUCCCCAACUUUGGUGAGCAUCUCCUAACGUUUUUGACCUAUCCCAUAUCUGAAAAACUAUUUUCAAAAAAAGAAGGUUAAAACACAAGAGUGUCAUAUAGCCCUUUUCAUCCAGGUAAUAACAACUUGUACGACCUCGACUUCUGUUACCAAGGGCAAGAUAUGGGAACAAAUUAAAAAAUAAAAGUUCCACGGCAAUAUGGACUGAUUCAGGUAAAACUAAGUACGGCCGCAUAAGGUCAACCAGAUAAGACGGCAUGGAAACGCCAGAUUAUGUUAUAGUAAAAUGUUGUUGUAGGCAGUCGCCAAAUAACAGGCGUUACGUUCAACACGAAAGAGUACAGGACGGAACGCCGUCCGUGCGGAUCGUAUUUUUUUCUCUCCUGUUCCAUGAAGAAAAAAUAGAAUAUUGUAUUUUUAACAGCUGCGAAAUGCCAAAUCAGCAGAUCCAAAGGAGUCCAAAUGGGACGCGUCCAAAUCAAUGUCUCGGCGGUAGCAACUAGGAAGCUCCAACACUAGCUACGCGGCCUGGGACUGUGCUAUACUACUACUGGUGUGAUCUGGUGUGACUGUACACCGCGUGGCUUUAUUACUCGUAGAAGAAGAAGCCUUUCUUCGAUCUGCCGCCGCCGCUGAGAUGGUAUGGGAAUACAGACAUACGGUACAGAGUGUAUGUACUGGAUGGGGUAGCGAUUUCACGGUUUACGAUGACGGGUACUGGAGUACAAACCGUAGAAGCAUCAAAUACCGUCAGAGUAUAAAUGGAGGCAUGUACGAUGGAGCUAUCAUUGCCAUUUCGCUGAAAGGGAAAAGGAGGCACCUAAACUUUGCUAAUGGAUUAAGCACACUGAACAAAUUAAAGGGGCAGAGCAAAGGAAAGGAAAAGAAAGAAAGGAAGGAAAUAAAAGAAAAUCUAGAUCUCUCGAGUCAGUCAACAUACUGCACAAAAUGCUUCACGUACCAAGAUCAUAGUAUGUAUGAACCUUCAACACCCCACCCUAUUCGCGUGCAACACAUCGUUUAGCCUGCUGCGAGUCCCAAUUUGAUGAACCCUCCAUUCUUGAAUAUACGGACAUUUAGAAUAAGAGAAAUAGUUUAUUCUAGAAUAAUUUUGUUUGUCCUAAACGUGAUAUAUCUAAGGAAGGAAUGUAAUAUUCACCGUUCCAAGAAUCAACUUCUCAACAUGAGUCAGUGCGAAUCAUUGUGUGCUUUGUCUGAUGUCUAGUUUCAUUUUUCAUUACAUCCACACUUGUUUGCAAGCCGUUCAAACCGCUUCACAUUUCGAGCAAAUAACCUUAGCCUCAAUCUACGUCUGAUGAGAAGAUUCCGAGCUGCAUUGAAUUAAUGUCAGCUAAAGGAAGUACACCUAUAGAAUCGCAAAUACACGUGAAGCAAUGAGAGGCGGCACCCAACCCUUGUUUACCUUGAUAGGGUCUUCUGCAAUGAAAGCUGGAACCUAGCUUUCAAGAACCAUUCUCUUCAUGCUUUAUCAUCAUCGCACUCCGACCAUUGCCCACUCUUGUUAGCACAUCAGAAGGACUUGCGCAAGCCUACACCUUUCAAGUUCGAAAAUAUCUGGACGAAAGUUCCAAACUUCCAGGAGAUUGUAGCUAGUGCCUGGUCUCAACCAACCACACAUACAGAACCUUUCCACAGGAUUGGGUACAAGCUUCACGUGACAGCAAAAGCUCUGAGGACGUAGAGCAAAUCAUUGAUCUCUGAUGCCAAAUUCAAGCUACACAUGGCCCAAGAAGUCAUCAUGCGAUUGGACAUUGCUCAAGAAAAUAGAGACCUUAAUGAGCCGAAGCACAACUUGCGGAGUAAGCUCAAAAAGCGCAUUCUUAGCUAGCCAGUAAUAGAAAAGGCUAGGAAACAACAAAGCUCAAGAGGCAUAUACUUAUGGAAAGGUGACGCCAACACCAAAUUCUUCCACCUCAAGGCGAACACAAGAAGGCGGAAGAAUUUCAUUCAACGACUGUGAAAAGGCACGGGUUGGGCUAUAUCUUGCUGGAGCAUCAUCAAACAAGACUUAGUCGCAACAAUUAACUACUUCCACACAGGGUGCUGCACAAACCUGAACCUUGUCAACAAGGCAAACAUUGUCCUACUACCCAAAAAAGACGGGGCAGACUCAAUCACAGACUUCAAGCCAAUCAGUCUCAUCCACACCUUUGCGAAAAUCAUCAACAAAAUACUUGCAUUACGUCUAGCGUCAAAAAUGCAUGCGCUCAUCUCCCCAUGUCAAAGCACCUUCAUAAAAGGCAGAAGCAUUCACGACAACUUCCUUUAUGUCAGAAACAUCACACGACGAUUCCACUGAAACGGGACACCAUCGCUUCUAAUGAAGCUUGACAUUUCCAAAGCUUUCGACUCAGUACGUUGGGAUUACCUGCUCUCAUUGAUGCAACAUAGAGGUUUCCCACAGCGCUGGAGAAACUGGAUUGCCGCAACUCUAACCAUCUCCACAUCCAGAAUAAUGAUCAACGGAAUUCCAACCGACCCAAUCUAGCAUGGACGUGGACUACGAUAGGGGGAUCCUCUAUCCCCACUACUCUUCAUUCUCGCCUUUGACCCACUGCACCAGCUACUCUCCCAAGCCACGAACCUAAAGCUGCUGCAAAAGUUAGGGGGAAGAGUGGCGCUGUGGCGGAACCACCUCGGAUUAGCUUGAUUAAGCAGGGUUAAGCCGCCUAACAUGCGACACUCCUGCCUAAACCGAGCUAACACGAAGUGCCGUCGGAUUUCAUCCGAUUUAACCACUUAAACAGGAUCGAGUUAAGCAAACCCACACGAAGGUGAGCGGUUACAGAGAAUACAACAAGUCCACUGAGUUAAACGAGUUUUUACCCAUUUAGUUCGGCCAUAAAAUCCAACCUCGGAGGUUUACAAGGUUUCAAGAAAACAAUGGAGAAACACUAGCGGAAGACUUCGUCGGGGUCGGAUGUCCGGGUGAGGCCAGCCAGAACAUCACUGAGUCCUCUCCUCGCCGUCCGAGGAGGGGUCCCACUCGACCGUCCAGCCUGGCGGGAGCUGGGGCGGCCAAGCACCAACCAGAGAGGGGUCGGACGCAGCAACUUCACCUGAAAAAUAGGAGCCACAACAAGGCUGAGCUACUAAGCUCAACAAGACUUAACCGAUAGGAGUAAGGGCUACUCCUCCUUCUAGACAUGCAAGGCUUCUUGGCUGAGGGGUUUGGUUGCCAAAAGCACUAAGUAACCCUAUUUCAGUUUUAGCUCCGGUUCUAUGUUCAUUUACCAGUCUAGGUUGUGCAACCUAUUCUAAGCAUUCAUAGAACCAAACAAGAUGUGAAGAUAUAACAAGAAACAUUGCCAUCAUCAGAUUCCUCAUUUACUCAGGGUGACAUAGCGAUCAAGCAAUCUCAAACUGUGAGAGGCAGACGAAUCGAUUCGAGUUCUUUAACCAUGCAUGGUGAACCUAGCCUCACGACAUCCGCGCACCCGGGGGUCGCUUCCUGUGUCGGCCUUCCCCAUCAAUCCUCUAACCCGUGUCGGGCCCAUUUCCUUUGGUGCAAGGUUCCACAGACCCGGCCUCUGCCGUUCUGUGACCACACAUUGCCACCACGUGCGACAACCAGCAGGGGAAACUCCGUUCUAAGAACAAUGGGGCGACCGCUCACGUCUAGGUUCAAUCCGGUACUAGGCUUCCUCAUCCCAUACUAAGUAUGAGGCUAGUACUUUCAAACACUUGAUCACGAACACCACCACUGUCGAGCCUUAGCAAGAUUUCAUAGACAAACGGGGCGACCAUCCGACCACCAAAGAGUUACCCAAAACCCUGCCCCGUCCAUCGUCCUUAUAGUUAUAACAGGAGAGUAAACAUGCAACUCCUAUAACUCGCGAGUGACAGGAAAUCACUCGACUUUUACCGUUUUCCUAGUUAAGCAAUGCAGCUACUCGGUCCAAUAGCUAGUGCUCAGAUCAUGGGUCACUGAGUCAUGCAUCUAGGGUUUCACACAACUCCUAUACGUAAAUGCACAAGCAUGUUACAGAAGGCAUGCGCAAGUCUGGUAAAACACAUAGGAUUUUCAUGCAACCGGGGCUUGCCUUCAAGCAAGGAGGACGGGAACUGCUCGACUUCUGGGGCGACUUCGGCUUCGGAGGGCAGGAGCUCGGCUACAGCUUCUUCUUCUGGCGCCGGGUGAAGCUCGUAGAAACCGUCGGCGAGGUGCAGCUCUACACGAAUGCAAUGCAAGGGUUAGCUUAGACAAUUAUUUCAACAGCGACACGGGCUCGCCUGAGCCCAGAAACUUGCGACAACGAGCAGGAGGUUAUGGUGGUUCGAGAGAGCUGAUGAUGAUCAAGAGGUAAGGGUAGGAAGGAACUAGUGGUCUGAUCCUUGAACUAGAGGAUGUGAUAAACUAGGGGUCCUUAGACGCAAGCGCUGAAGGGUUCCCAAGUUUUACACAUACACCCUCGAGUUGAAGAAAAAGAUCACAGCCAAGCCCUCGGGCGAGGCGGAUAAGGGUCGGCGGAACAGACAGGGUCGGGCGAGACGGAAUCCGGGGUCGGGCGAAUAGGAGGGGUCGGGCGAGGCGGACUGGGGUCGGCAACUCACCUUCUUCCUGAAAGGAAAGCGUGGGGUCGGGAAGAAGCAGACUUGGGCGGAGGGACUAAAGCUUCGAGCAAGGGCUACGACUGGCAAUGCUCCGGCGGCGGCGCUGCUUCUUGCGGAUCACAAGAGAGCUCUUACGCAGCACGGAGGAGCAAGCUGCUGGGUGACUUGGAGGAAACUGAGAGAGAAUUGAGAGAAGAACUCCUCAAGAACUGGGUGGGUGGCGCUAGGAGCUUGAGUAGGGAGCUAGAGAAGGCUGAAGGCAACGAGAGCGGAGGGAACUCCGGCGACGGGGGCAUUCCUUUUAUAGCUGCUGGAGCAGAGGAAAGGAAACGGCGCGGAGAGAGAGAAGGGGAGCGGCGCGAAGGCCGGGGAGAGGCAAUGGAGUGCUCUGCCGGGGCGGCGAUUGAGCAAAGAGGGCGGUGGUGCAGAACUCCGGGGGUGACGCCAGCAAUCAUGGCGUUCUGCCGUCAGGGCGGCGUAGAAGUGGGUAGACUGGUGGUUGAGAUUUGGCGAAAAGCGGGCGUCGUCGUGCGGAAGAUGUGAUAGAAACGACCGGUUUAACGGUGCUAGAAUCGAGGGCGCACAGGUGAGAAGACAGACGGACGCGGGCGCGGGGGAGAGCGCGGAACAACAGAUUGUCGGGCGGCUUCUGACAAAGCGGGGAAAGGAACUGUCGCGGCCGUGGUCGGGGUUGGCGGUGGAGGAAUCGUCGUGUAGCGGCGACCGGGCGGCGCAACUGUGGCUGAAGGGAUGGAAAAGACGGGCGACAUCGGGCUCUGGGGCCGGGAUCUGGUGGCGUGAUGAUGGGCGCGGGAGGUGAGGUUCUGCAGAAAGGGGUGCAGAGGGCUUCCGCUGCUAUUGGGGAAAGGGGGCGCGGGAACCCACUCGGUUGCUUGCCAGAGACAAAACUUUGCGGCAGGCGUCGGAGAAGACGAGCCACGCGGCAGGAAGACUCUGAGGCGGCCAUGCAACUCGAGUGUGGCUGUCGCGGGGGAUCUGGAAAAGAUCUCACGGGUCCACCGGUGGAUAGAUCGGACGGGUGAGGAAGAUCAGCAGAAUCCGAUGGUGGGCUGAGCUCGCUGGGGUCGGGAGAGGAGCGAAGCGGGAAGGGGUCGGAUCUCAGGGGUCGGGACCAGGCGGAUAGCUGAGCACUUAGGUGCGGUCAAGCAAAACAGCUGACUAAGGUUAAGGGCUGCGAUCAAGACUAACUGGGAAGGCUUAGGGGUCGGUCGUUACAGGCACGCUUCAGGAUAUCCAUGUAUGCAGAUGACGUGGUGAUCUUCGUCAAACCAGACUGCAAAGACAUCAACAAUAUGGAGCUCAUCCUAAAAAUUUUGGGGAAGUUACACGGCUAAAGACUAACCUGCAGAAAACAAGUGUGACGCCAAUCAGCUGCGGCGACAUAGACCUAGAGGACACACUGUCCGGCUUUUCGGUGAUACGCACCAACUUCCCCAUCAAAUACCUGAGGCUACCGCUCGCGAUGAGGAGAUUACGCAAAAUGGAGUUUCAACCUCUAGUGGAAAAGGCAACCUCCAAGGUAUCAGGCUGGUACGGGAGACACCUAACGCAGGCUGGCCGAGUCUACCUGACAAAUCCAUGCUAUCUUCAUAGCCAGUCUACCUACUAAUAGUACUCAAAGCGACCAAAGAAAUACUAGAGGAGCUUGACAAAAUAAGGAAAAAAUUCCUUUGGGUCGGCAACUAGACGCUCAAGGGAGGUAAAGGCAAAGUCAACUGAUGCAGUCUUCCCAAAGAACAUGGCGGUUUGGGAAUUCUGAACUUGGAAAGAUUCGCUAGAACCCUGAGACUACGGUAGCUAUGGCAUGAAUGGGUCUCGCGAGAAAAAGCAUGGAUAUGUACUGAAACACCAUGCGACAACACUGACCGCACUACUAGAAAUAUGACCUUUCAUCCCUAAUAUUAGUACCGAUCACAUUUGGACCCAGUACUAGAGGGGGUAUUAGUAUCGGAUCCAAAUUUGGGAUUCUGCGGAAGCCCUCUAGUACCGGUUGGAGGCUCGAACCGGUACGAGAGGGUUUCCCACCGCCAACUUUCAUUUUUUUUCCCGUCCCAGCGCUACCCCGUGCUUUAUCUCCUUAGCGCACACUUAGAAAUAUCUAGAGCACCCCCAUCCCCCACACACUUAUCUCCUCACCCUCUCUGCUCCUCUCUCUCCCCUCCUGCCUCCUGCCUCCCCUACCUCUCUCCCUCUCUCGAUCUCUCUCAGUGUAGCGCGAGGGAUCCCCGGCCAGCCCUCUUCCUGCUUUUCCUCCCCUCCCCCCUCCGCUCACCCUUCACUGGUGGUGAGGAGUGGCAGUGUGGCGAGGUGGGUGGUGACGACGGCGCAGGUGGUUAGGGCGGGCAAAGUGGCAGCGAAGGAAGUGGCAGAGGAGACAGUGGGGUGAAGGGGGCCGGCGGCGUGGAUCGAGGCGGAGGAGACCAGGUGGAGGGGGCAGGGGCCACCGACGGCGGUGGGGCCGUGGAGGUAGCGGCGGAGGAGGUCGGGGUGGAGGUGGUGGCGGUGGGGGUGUGGAGAAGGAGGAGGGGCGGGCAGGGGGGAGGGCGGUAGUGGCGACGUGGAGGAGGAGGAGGAGGGGCGGGUGGGGCCAGCGACGACGGAGGCGUGGAGGUGGCGGCGGAGGAGGCCGGGGGUGGAGGUGGUGGCGGAGGAGGCGUGGGGGUGGAGGAGGGGUGGGCGGGGCUGGCGGCGGCUGGGGGGACGGGGGUGGAGAGGCGGGGGGUGGGGGGUGGCGGGGAGGGGGUGCGGUUUUGGGGCUGGCAGCAUGGGGGCUUUUCUUUUUUAAUUUUUUUAACCCCUCUAGUACCAAUUGCUUAGUACCGGUUGUGCAACCGGUACUAGAGGGGGGUUUCUAACCGGUACAAGAGAUGGUUUUUCUAGUAGUGUUGUCUCCUCUUCACGGCUUGCACAACAACAACAAUCGGCAACGGUAAAAAGACGAGCUUCUGGCACUCAGGAUGGCUACAGGGCCGUAGGUCCAAUGAAGCGUCCUUAUAUAAGCAGAGACUAAAUGUGAUACAAAUAUCAGCCACAUGAGGCUGAUUACACAUUUAUUCAACAGAUGGUUCUAGAACCAUACAACUCUCGAGCGAGCAGGCGCGAAAGCCACGCUGAAACAAUAAGUAAAACAACAACAGUAACGACCCAAGCUAUUGUCCAGAUGAACCCCAGACAGCACUCGGGACUACACGCCAGUGAGUCCUGCAAAGUCCCAACACCACAAGCAACGUUGGGUGCGGAAACGACCACCUACUCGAUGUCCUCGACAACAAAGUCCGGGUCUUCCUCUGAAGCAACAAAACAAGGGUGAGUACAAAAGUACUCAACAAGUCCAACCACACCCAUGGAGGGGGAAUAACAAGAAUAUGCACAAGUCAUAACAAGGAUAAGGCUAAGGUUCAUUUGUAAUAAAGGUAUUUAACACAUGCAAGGGUUCACUUUAAAAGGGUCUUCGCAAAGCAUUUAUUGAGUAACCGAAUAAUGGAGUGGGGUUGAUCCUACUCAAAGGAUCCAAAUUUUAAUGCUACCAGACUCCCCAUCCACGGUAGCUCAUGGCACAACUAUCGGGCACUUCUAAAAUCUAACACACACCUUGAAAAUCAAUGAGCUAGGCCUAAUAAAACCACUUUGCUGCAAUUCCCCUAACUGCUUCUUCAGUUCUGCCAACUCAGAUGCUGCCAUCCUAUCUGGUCUCUUGGCUAUAGGAGAGGUUCCUAGGAUAAGAUCAAUUAUGAACUCUGUAUCCCUGUCCAGUGGCAUUCCAGGUAGUUCUUCAAGGAAGACAUCGGGGUAUUCACUCACUACUGGGACUUCCUCUAUAGCCUUAGCUUCCAUGCUAAAAACCAUCAAGUCUGGUCCACUUUCCUGAGUGUGACAAGUCACUUGCAUGCCAUCCUAAUUGGUUAGGCGUACUACCUUAUCAGCACACCCUAUGUGACCAUCAUGUAGGCUUAACCAAUCCAUCCCAAGGAUCACAUCUAUCCCCUUAGACUUAAGCACUACUAAGUUUGCUAAGAAUUUUAUCCCACUUAAAUUGAUCCUUACCCGGGAACAACCUAGUUGGCAUCGAAUGUCAGCUCCAGGCGUUCGGGUUAAUAAGAGUAACCUUAGUAGUACUGUAGAUAUAUUGUGAUUGUUCACAAAACUUGAUAAUAUGAAAGAAUGUGAUGCUCCAGAAUCAAAAAGUAUUGUUGCCAAGACUGAGCUGACUAAAAACUCACUGAGUACCAUGCCCUGAGCUUCUCGAGUCUCUUGCACGCUGAUGUGGUUGAUGUGGGCUCGUCCAAAUGACUAAUGGGAAAGCCUCAUCUGCUGGUUGUUGUUGUUGCUAGGGUUGUUGUUGCUGCAGAUGGGAACAUGGUUGGCACCUGACGAGGCUGGUCUUGGCCCAUUCACAAAGUUGGAAAAGGUUGAGGCUGCUGGCUUGUUGUUGGCGUAUGGAUAGUUGGCUAUGAAAUGUCCUGUCUCGCGACAGUUGAAACAUGCCCUGUUGUUGCUGGUGACUUGGCUGGCGUUGCUCUGCGGGGCCUUGAUGGGGUUCUGGCUCCUAAAUGGGGCAUUGGGUUGGUGAGAACCGGAUGCUUGACACUAGGUCCUGUACUGCAUAGGGGCCUGGGACCUAGGCACUGGAUGACCAAAGUUUCAUGACUUCUGGAAACGGUCCUAUUGGUGGGCCUUGUUCUCUAGGAACCGGCGCUUGUUGUCCCUUCUCUCAUCUGCCUUGGCUCUCUCAGUCAAGAUAGCCAUGUUCAUCAUUGUGUUGGAAUCCGGGUAGAUCUGAGGAGUAAGCAGGGUCCUAAGUUCUACACUCAAGCCCUUGUUGAACAUGUCCUGCUUCUUUUCAUCCUUGUCCAUUUCUUCCGAAGCAUAAUGGGCUAGCUCCAUGAACUGAUAGGUGUACUCCUCCACAGACUUGCUGCAUUAGCGCAGUUCACGGAACUCAUCCGCCUUGCGCUUCAUGGUGGCCGCUAGAAUGUGAUAGCAGCAAAACUAUAUCACAAACUCCUCCCAAGUGAUACUAGAAGCAUCUUGGGCGGCUAUACAGUAGUUCUCCCACCAAGCUAGAACAGUCCCAGUUAGCUGAUGGGCAGCCAAGAGAACCUUGUCUCUGCGCUCACAACCAAAUGGUUCCAGCUUCCUUUGGAUAACCUGUAGCCAUUCGUCUACAUCCAAAGGGUUAAUGGUCCUACCAAAAGUGGGUGGCUUGGUCCGAAGGAAGUCUUUCAGCUUCUCAUUCAUGCUUUGCCUGCGGGGCCUCGGGCGGGUGAUGGCAUUGGCCAAGGCUUCUAGCAGAAGAGUCUGAUUUUUCAUUACUUGCACCAGAUCAAUAACAGGCGAAGGUGGUGGCUGUUGUGCGCCCCCCUUGGCUUUCUCCUCCCCCUUCAGGCUGACUCACCUCCUACUCCUGAUGGUGCACUGCAGGGGGUGGUGCUUGCCUUUCUUGCUGUCUUUCUGCACUAGGGGUGGCAUGGUCCUAGCUUGGGGAGGUCCUGGUGGCAUGGUCCUAGCUUAGGAAGUAUCUGUAGAUUGGGUGGGAUUUCAUGAGACUUGGAUUUGGAUUUAAGGUGAUGUUUAAGUUAAUUAAUUCGUAGUUUCGGAAAGACAAAAUCGACCUCCUGUCGACAAGCAAACAGACUAACAACACAACAAGCACAAACGAUUUUAUUUUUGCCAUGAGGGUUACAACACCUGGAGGUAAGGCCAAAACACGCACUACACAAUCUGGUACAACAACACAACUGGGGGGCGGGGUUACAACUCUAAACUUCGGACCGAGACGGCUUCACUUCCUAGGGUACAACUCUUAGUUGGGUACCCUACUCGCGGGGUGAGUCUUCAUCCUAGACGGAGUGGUUUUCUGGUGGGAUGAGGAGUGCCAACACAUCGUCCUCCACCGAGGGUGGCUUGGCGAUUUUAGAGCCUCGUCUGGAAGACUCUAAAGGUGGUGGUGCUUGUGGAGCGUUGGGGCUCUUUCGCUUGCCGGAUCGGGGCCUCGUCAUCUUCCAUAGCCACCAUCCUCCUCCUAGCAUGAUUCACGAGGUGGGCCUCCUUCAACUCCUGGGAAUGCCGAUCAUCGGCCUGCUUGAGGGCCUCAAUGGUGGCAGCCUCACUGCUUUGGGCGGCCGCAGCUCGUGCCUUGGCUUCUACCAGCUUCACCUGGAGCCUUCUCACCAUGACCUCUGCGUCCUCGACUCUGCGAAUCUGCUGCUUCAUCUUCAAGGUAUGCUUGUCAUAGAGCUUGUCUAAGGUGAGGAGGUAAGCAGCCAUGUGGAGCACCGUGGGGUCGUCCUCGCACUGCCCACGUCCUUCCAAAGUCCUCACCCGGACCAGCCAGACUGGGCAGUUCUUCUUGACAGGCGGGUAGAAUCUCAUCGGAGUGUGGCCGAUGUGCCCCUCAUAAAUCUAGCACAGGAAGCGUAGAGCCUUCCUGACUGCCACUUGGUAAGUGUCCUCAUGCCGAAAAUUGGUGGCAGACACAUUCCAUGGCUGGAUGUCGGGGUAGUAGCUACUCCUCCCGAUGUAGAUAAUCAUUUCACACCGAAGGAUCCUGUGGUCCUCGUACUCCCUGCUGGUGUACUCUGAGCACUCGUAAAUGCCGAGGUGGUGCAUGCAAGCGAACAACAACCUGGGAAAACCGAGCUCCUCCAAGCAGUGGCUGUUGACCCAUCCUUCUUCAGCCAUCAUUUUUGCGACAAAGCAAGGGAAGCAAGAAAUUUUAUAAAUCACAUAUUUUGGUCAAAAAGGCUUUUCUGGUCCUAAUGGUCGCAUCCUACAGCCAACGACGACUCUCAUACCACCUGAAGCGUCCCCACAUAAGUAGAGACUUAAAUGUGAUACAAUAACACAUUUAUUCAACAAAUGGUUCAUAAACCGUACAACUCCUAAGGGAGCGGACACGAAAGCCAUGCCGAAACGAUAAGUAAAACAACAGUAACGACCCAAGAUAUUGUCCAGAUGAACACUAGACAGCACUCGGAACUACAAGCUAGCGAAAGCAUCCUGCAAAUGCCCAACACCACAGGCAACGUUGGGUGCAGAAGCAACCACCUACUCGAUGUCCUCGGCAACGAAGUCUGGGUCUUCCUUUGAAGCAAUAAAACAAGGGUGAGUACAAAGGUACUCAACAAGUCCAACCACACCCACGAAGGGGGAUAACAAGGAUAUGCACAAGUCAUAACAGGGAUAAGGCUAAGGUUUAUCUGCAAUAAAGCUAGAUUUUUAACACAUGCUGAGGUUUUUCCUACCCAGAGGAUCCAAAUUUUAAUGCCACCGGACUCUCCGUCCGCGGUAGCUCACGGCACAACUGCCGGACACUUCCAAAAUCCAACACACGCCAUGAAAAUCAUUCAUCUCCCAAAAGCUAGUUAUGUGCCCAAACCAUAACUCGUCCAAUACCGUGGACACGGCUAUUCGAAUAGGUUUUAACUGUGCAGAGGUGUACACUUUACCCACAAGUAGGGUACCACAACACAAACACCUUAGUGUUGGCGCGGAUCCUAACAAAGCCAUUACCCAUCUUAGCUAAGACCUAAUAAAUCAUCAUGGAAGCAACCAUGGGGCUAAGGACCUACCAACAAGGUCUUAACCAGGACCUAAGCCUACGUAUGCUUACUCCUUAUCCAUGAUCUCCCAUUGCUCACCUAGCACACCGACGAUUAUUAGACUUGCUAGUGGGGUUUAUGUUAAGCCUUUGCCACAUACACAGGUCGAGUGGUUGCAUUAUAAAUUGGGUUAGGAAAGAUGACACAUCAACUCGCUCCUUAACCAAGACAAGUUAGAUAUCUCCCAACCUGCUCAACCACUAAGGUACGAACCCAACUUGGCUUUUGACAUAAGAAACACCCAUCCGUCUCAUCUAAGCAUUUUCUUCCUUUUACUUCCCGAAACCCAUUUACCUCUUUUAAAUCACUCACACCUUUAUUCUUUGAUAAAAUACAUUGUAGUCAUAAUUGAAUUGUAAUAAAAUGAGUAACAAGGUCCUAAGCAUUCAAACAGUAAUUAUCAUACAAACAGAGCAUAUCAUAUUUAGAGAUAAUUCUAGGACGUCAAGGAAUAAUCAUAACAAUCAAGGGGUGGCUAUCCAACCGGGUUUCAGCAAUAAAAUAAUAUGCAAUUUAUAAAGUUAGCCAAUAGGUUGUGUUUGAAAAACUAGGAUAAAUAUGCAUCAAGGGUGAGAUUGGACUUGCCGUCCUCAAAGCCUUCCGGGAGUUUGUGCUCGUGGUACGGGUCCUCGGGCUCUGGCUCGUGGUACUGGCCUCCAAGCUCCUCUUCGGGCUCCUCCUCCUCGGUCACUCCGCGAUCUAAGGCACACACGAGCGAGCACACAAUAAAUAAAGGAAAAUAGAGUUUUACCCGUUGAGCUCGGGGAGAGAGAGAGAGAGAAGUGUAUAUAAAGGAAGGAAGAGUAUUUUCAGGGAAAUGGUAUAUGACUCAGCGGGAAUAUGUUUAAGAAUGUUGUGGUCGAAUUUGGGUUCAUAGGAGGAAAUUUGGCGCAUAAAAUAUCGGCGAGAAGGUGCUUAGGGGCUGGUUUUAAAGGGUCCAGGGACCUUAUUGCGAGAAUUCUUUGGAGAGGGAGGGGCUCUUGGUGAAAAGGAAAAAGAAGGGGGGUCUCGGUGUAAAGAGGAAAAAGGGGAGGGGGUUUUGUGAAAAAGGGUCCCUCCUCUAUCUAAAACAGAGAGGGAGCAAGGGAGGGGUCGGGCCUGGGCGGCCGGCCGGCGGCGGCGCUUGCUGGCGCGGCGGGGGUUGCGCGCAGCCGGGGAGAGGGGAAAGGGGGGAGGGGAGUGAGGGGAAUCCAUUCCCCUCCUCACCUUGGGCCAAGGGGCGUGGGAGAAAGCGUCGCAGCGGCGGACGACGGGAGGUGGCAGUUGGGCGACGGUGGCGACGACGCUUCAGGGGAGGAGGGAAGGGAGGUGGCGGGAGAGAGCAAUGGUCGGGGUGCGGUGGUGGAGUGGAGGGCCUUUUAUAGGCCGGAGGGGAGGGGGCGACAGGCGGUGCACAGGAGGCGGCACUGGCACGGCGGUAGGGGCUGAGACAGCACGCGGGCGUGGGGCGGCGUGUGGCGCGCCAUGGCCUGAGGCGGCGGGCGGUGCGGGGCAGGGGCCAUGCGGGCGCGGCAAGCAGGGCGGGACGCCAGCGUGCGGUGCACAGCGCACUGGCGCGGGGGCGAUAGAGGGCGGGGCUGAGCGCGGUGCGCCACGCGCUGGCGCAGGACGGGGCGUGUGGCGCGGCACGAGGGGGGGGCACCGUAGGGGAGUCCAGUGGUGUGCGCAUCUAGGGGAGAGGAAGAGAAAGGAGGAAGGGGAAUAAGAAGAAGGAAGAGAGAGGGAAAGAGGAAAGAAGAAAGGAAAAAUGAAAAGAGAGGAAGAAGAAAAAGGGGAUGAGGCAAAGAGAGAGAGAGGGAGAUGGCGGAGAUUGCGGAAGUGGUCGGGUUUGUAACGUGGCGCGAUGCGCGGAGAGGAAAAGAAAAAGAUUGGACGGUCGUCGGCCUUGGGUGCCGGGAUGGCAAAAUUGUCGGGAAGACAGGAUUUGGGAGCUCAAGCAUUGAAAAAGUUUUGAAAAUGAUUUUUAGCGAGUGAUUUAAUUUGGUGAAUUUUAUGGACGUUACACUACGGUAGGGGCCAGGCACGACGUGUGGGCAUGCGGUGGCAUGCGAGGCCAAGGGCGGCGAGCGGCGCGGGCGCAGGGCGCGGUGGGGCUAGAGCGGGGCGUGACGAGUGAUGCGGGGCGCAGGGUGCGGGACCGGGUGCGAGCGCGGGGCUGCUGGCGUGCGGUGCGGGUGCGGGGCUGGGGCGGACGCGUCGUUCUGACGCGGGCGCGGUGGGGGCCGAGGUGGGCGCGGAGUUCUAGCAUCGCCUGGUAGCGAGCACACGAGCGCAACAGGAGUGCGAGGGGGGCCGGGCAGGCGCGCGGGGAGGCAGGCGUGCGCGGCUAGGGAAAAGGAUGAGGGGAAAAAAAGGAGGAAGGGGAAGGAGAAGGAAGAGAGAAAAAGAAUGGGAAGAAAAGGAAAAGGAGAAAAAGGAGAUGAGGUAAAAAGGAAAAAGGAUUGGAGUAAAAAGGGAAAGAUUAAAUUGUGUGAAGAGUUAAAGAGAGAGGGAGGGGGAUGGCAGGUAUUGCGGAAGCGGUCGGGCCGGCAACAUGGCGCGAAGUGUGGAGAAGAAAAGAAAACGAUUGGACGGUGGUCGGCUUUGGUGCUGAGACGGUGGAAUCGCGGGGAAAACGAGAUUUGGGAGCUUAACCGGAGAAAAAAUUUUGAAAAUCAUUUUUAGCGAGUGAUUUAAUUUGGUGAAUUUUAGGGAUGUUAAACCCAAGGACAUAGCACCAACUCUCUUCAAGAUCUGCCGGCCGAAAAACAGAAUAGUAGUAGCGGGCUACAUUGAAACACUUGGAUACGAGACAUAGGGAGGGUAGAAGGGCUCACACUAACACACCUCCACGAGUACUUCACACUCUGGGAAAUGCUCGGUGACAUUCAGCUACAACCGAACCAGGAAGAUCAAAUCAGAUGGAAACUCACAGCAACCGGAGAGUACACGGCGGCAUCGGCCUACAAAUUGCAACACCUUGGAUGUGCCAAAGCGCCAAAACUAAUUGAUUUGGAAAUCAUGGGCGCCGUCUAAAUGCAAAUUCUUUGCAUGGCUGGUAACUCAAAACCGAGUGUGGACAUCGGACAGGCUGCAACGUCGAGGAUGGGCACACAACCUUUCCUGCCCUUUAUGCUAGAAUGCUCUUGAGGCGGCUCUCCACCUUCUAGCAGAAUGUCGAUAUACAAGAAGAUUAUGGAGCCUCGUAGCAUCCUGGACGGCACAACCUACUCUACACCCUCAAUUUUGGAGGCCCAGUGAAGACAUGCUUCAGUGGUGGGAUAAGAUCACUUCGAGCGCCCAUGUCUCCCGUAAAGCGAUUCGGACCUUAACAAUACUAGUAAUUUGGGAGGUCUAGAACGAGCGAAACGCAAGAGUUUUUAGAUAGCCAGAAACGUCAGCGUCGGGAUUGAUGGCCAAAAUCAAAAGCGAGGCAGCAGCUUGGGGCCCAGCGUCUCUUGUAUAGCGAGAAUAACUCUUUUAUUUCUUUCUGGCUAGCCGGUUGUACUCUUCUUCUCUAUCAAUGAAAUAGGCACAAUUUGGUGACCUUUCGUUCGGAAAAAACGCUUCACAUUAGAAAGGCCAGCAAGUGCUUGUUCAAACCAUUUUACAUAGGCAUUUAUCAGAAAAUAAACCAUUUUACAAAGGCAAAUAUGGCUAGGCUUUUAUCCGGGAGGGCACAGCAUGAGUAUCAAAUCGAUGGAUGUAAUGUACCUGCACGACCAUGACCCGUGUGCACAUGACAAUUGACAGGGUCUCACCUCAAAUCUCAACAAACACGGCCACCAACUGCUCCCGUCUCGCAAUCGAGAAUUCAAGACCCAUGUAGCUUCGUCAGAAUCUAAACAAAAAGCCCGAAAACAAACAGAUGACGAGGAGGAACAGGCGAGGUCGACGACAGAUAUCAUUUCUCCUCUCCCAGUCUUGCGAGCGAGCCCCGCCAUGGAUAUCUGCACCAGUUGUUUUCAAGCCAGAUACUAGUUGCGUGCUUGCGUUCGCGUGGACUGCGUCGACUUCGGGACAGGGGACGCUGCCCUUUUCCACGCGCCACUCUGCUCUGAACCCAUCCUCCUCCCCUCCCUACGACCCUACUCCACCACGCAGAGGAGAAAGCAACAGAGGAGGACUCGAGGAGAGAGAGGGAGAGACAGGAUUUCCUCUCGGUCGUCUCCUCGAUCCGUUCUCUGCUCCCAGUUCUUUGAAGCAAGGCACUGGGGUUAACUCCGGCGACCGGAAUUCUCGGCAUCAAGGUAUGGUGGUGCAACGCUUUGCUGCCAAGUUUUAGAUGCCUCUGUUCAUGCCCAACUGAAUUUCGCUGUUUUACGGCUAAGUUGCUCUGCAAAAUUGCAUCUUGCCCCCAUGGCGCCGCGAAGUUCUCUAGCGCCGAAAUUGCGUCUUACCGCGUGACGUCGCCGCGCAGGGGCCGUUUCAACCUUUGCCGCGUUGUGCCAGGCUGCCGCCGCCUGCCAGCGGGAUGUUUCGGUGGAAGAUGGCUUCUUGACGCGUUUCUUCUGGUGCCGCUCCCAUGGCAGGAGCAGGAGGAAGCUAGGACCCGGCACCGAGAGGCGCGCGGUUCGUGCUCCCUAGCGUUGCCUCGCACGGCAUGUUCGUUGCCUCGCCGGGGAGGCACCGGGAGGCGCGCCGCCGGGAUGGACGGUAGGGAUAAGGUGCUCAUCGGGGUCGCCGCCGGCGUCGCUGCCGCGGCGCUCGCGGCGGCGUGCGUGCUCCUGGCCAUCUGGCUGUACCGCCGGCGGGCCAGCGUCGCGGCCCGGACGCGGUCCCUGGAGUCGCCCUCGGCGACGCUGCGGGCCGACGGCUCCCGCUGCGCCAGCCUCGACUCCAGCGUCUCCGUCUCGGUGGUCUCCGAGAGCGUCGCCGACUGGGGCCACCCGCCGACGGCCAAGCGCGCCGCGUUCUGGGCCUGGAGAGGCGGCGCCGGCCACAACGGCAGGGAGCCGCCGCAGCUGACCGUUUCCGGGAUCCCAAAAUAUCAUUACAAGUAUGGCAAUUCUUACUCUUUAAUCUUCGUGUUCAGUUGUUCAUGUUCUUUUUGGCAGUUUUACGCCUGUUUCGAACAUGGGCAUGUUCCAGAAUCAAAUCUUCAGUUAAGGCUGUCACUGAAUAGAGUAGCCACUUGCAAUGUUCCCCGUGAAAUCCCUGCGAAAAAUUACUGCAAGUCAGAUGGGUCUGUUAGGUUGUCACUGAAUAGAGUAGCCACUUGCAUAUGAUCAAAAUAAUCAUUUCUGAAUUGUUCCAUCACGUUGCUGGUGGUUGCUGCUCAGGGAUCUGCAGAAGGCUACCAGCAACUUUACCACAAUUCUGGGGCAAGGAUCGUUUGGUCCUGUGUACAAGGCUGUAAUGGCCACCGGUGAAGUGGUAGCUGUAAAGGUUCUUGCGAGUGAUUCAAGGCAAGGGGAAAGAGAGUUCCAGACUGAGGUAUGUUAAUAUUUUCCGGGGUUUCAUUUUUUGUUUUUUGUUCUAAGAAAAUUAUCAACUUUGGUUGGUGUGAUGGAUGUGGUAAGACUUAUGCACUUUGUUUUGAGGAACAACUAUCCUGGAAAUUGGCUUGUUUGUUGUCAUGCUGUGUCCUCAAUGAUGCUCCAAUCGACAAAACACCGCCAUUGCACUCUGGUGACAUAUUAUGGAGUCAAAAAGCUGAUGAGAAAUGAGCACAUUCACCUAAAAAGAAUAAGUACCAUGUGUCUAGAGACAAGUGCAAAUGCAUUGAAAAAGAAGGGCCUCCUAGCGUUUGGAUACCCCCGCUAAACUUCGUGUCACAUUGGAUGUUUGAUACUAAUUACGUAUAUUAAAUAUAGUCUAAUUACAAAACUUUGCACAGAUGGAGUUUAAUUCGCGAGACGAAUCUAUUAAGCCUAAUUAGUCCAUGAUUUGACAAUGUGACUACAGUAACCAUUUGCUAAUGAUGGAUUAAUUAGCCUUAAUAGAUUCAUCUCGUGAAUUAGACUCCAUCUGUGCAAUUAAUUUUGUAAUUAGCUCAUGUAUAGUCCUCCUAAUUAGCAUCCGAACAUCCGAUGUGAUCCUGCUAAAGUUUAGCACCUCGUAUCCAAACAUCCCCUGUUCAGUCCCAUCCCUAUGAUUAGCUAAUUUCAGGGUUACUUUUUUCUCAGAUACAUCCACUUGUUGUCACAAAGUAAUUAUGUUCUUGAAUGAUGGAACACGCUUUGCCUCAAAAAAUUGAAGCAUCCUUUGCCUCAAAAGGAAAGGAAAGAAAAAAAAAGAAACAUGCUGUGGGUAAAGCCUAAAGCAAGUACCUUUAAUCUAUGUGAAGUAGUGCUGUGGACAUUUGACUCUAAUGACCUGAUCAAAGUGCAAUCGUGACUACAUUUUAAUUAUUUGCAGGUAGCAUUGCUUAGCAGGUUGCAUCAUAGGAACCUUGUUAAUUUGGUCGGAUAUUGCGUCGAAAAAGGUCAGCGCAUUCUGAUUUACGAGUACAUGAGCAAUGGGAGUUUGGCAAGACUUUUGUAUGGUAAGGGAGACAAUUUCUCUAAUUUUGUAAAAGGAAGCAUGAAAUGAGGAAACAUUACAAAAAUGAUUUGCAUAUUAGUUUUACACAGAGCAUAUAGUAUUUCAGUGCACUACGUAGCGAACAAACAAUUGUUUUGUCAUUUGAAAGACUUGUUCCUAAUUACUUUGACAUAAUGCCAUUCAGGUGACAAUAAACGGAGUUUGAGCUGGCAAGAAAGGCUGCAAAUUGCUCACGAUAUUUCUCAUGGGAUUGAGUAUCUGCAUGAAGGGGUACACUAACUGUUCAUGACUAUUGAAGUGUGUGUUCAGUAAGUUAUCUGAUCUAUGUUUCAUGUGUGCAGGCUGUUCCACCUGUUAUUCACAGAGACUUAAAGUCUGAUAAUAUACUUUUGGACCAUUCAAUGAGGGCCAAGGUUUGACAAUUUAUGAUGUAGUUUUUAAGUAUUAUCUUGUCACUUUGAAGUAUUGAUCAUUCAACUGCUCCAUAUGCACUUUUAAGUAUCAUCCUGUCAGUUGUUUUAACUGAACCAAUACUACUCCUGAUUAGUAUAAAGUUGAAUGAUUCAACUCAACCUGGAUAUAUGCAACUAAAAGCAAGAUUAAAAUCACAAGACAAAAUACUUAGCCUGAAACUAUGCUCAUAUAUUCUAAUUUACCUUUUCCGGGUGGGUGCAGGUUGCAGACUUUGGUCUAUCAAAGGAGGAAGUUUAUGAUGGAAGGAAAUCGGGUCUCAAGGGCACCUAUGGAUAUAUGGAUCCUGACUACAUGUCCACAAAUAAGUUGACAAAGAAGAGUGACGUGUAUAGUUUUGGCAUUAUACUUUUUGAACUGAUAACAGCCAUAAAUCCACAACAAGGUCUAAUGGAUUACAUUAAUCUGGUAAGUCAUUUUAACGUUACUGAAAGUCCAUCAGAAUUAGAAAGCCUGUUUUCCACUUAUUCAAUAGGUAUUAUCACUCAAAGUUAGGAGGUUGGUCACAUGUUUUAUAUUAGACUAGUUCUGCCCGGUCACAACUCACAACUCCACUUUUAAGUCAUGCACAUCAGACCAGUGCACUAACUAAGACAUAAGUUUUGCAUGAGCUAUGUAUAAUACUAUAGUUCAUUUUAGUCCUUCAUUACCCUGUGAAGCAUCAUGUUGGGUAGCAAACAUUGUUCUGAACCUCAGUCACAAACAUUGUUGUUUAGUACAACUUCUUACUACUUGUGUUUGUGUUUGUUUCUUUAGCACCUCCUAAAAUUCCAGUCACAUCGAAUGUUUAGAUACUAAUUAGGAGUAUUAAACAUAGGCUAAUUACAAAACCAAUUGCACAGAUGGAAACUAAUUUGCGAGACAAAUCUAUUAAGCCUAAUUAAUCCAUGAUUUGACAAUAUGAUGCUACAGUAAACAUGUGCUAAUGAUGGAUUAAUUAGGCUUAAUAGAUUCGUCUCGUGAAUUAGCCUGCAUCUGUGUAAUUAGUUUUAUAAUUAGCUCAUGUUUAGUCCUCCUAAUUAGCCUCUGAAUAUUCGAUGUGAUAUAAAUUUUAGUCAGGACUAAAGAUCCAAACAGCCCCUUACUACAUUGCUGUAAGAUGAAGAUGCCUUGUGAAAGCAGUCUGUGAGCACAAGUGUCAUCGGUCGUGCUGUGGAGUAUUUAUAUGAUGCAUGGAUCCUUUCAGGCAGCACUUGGAGGGGAGGGAAGGGUUGAUUGGGAUGAGAUACUGGACAAGGACCUCCUAGUAGGGAACAUCCCUGAAGAGGUUAGGAUGCUUGCUGAUGUUGCCUACCGAUGCGUUAACAAGAGUCCGAGGAAGCGCCCUUGGAUAUCAGAGGUCACGCAGGCCAUCUCAAGGCUCAGGCAGCGCCAGCUGACAAAGCAUGAUGCUCUGACUUUGCCAAGGAGCGAGACCAGGACAGUCCUGAGGAGGAUAGAGUACCAGCAUGUCGAGCUGAGCGACAUUACCAGCAUGAAAGAACUGACGCCGAUAAGGGCAUGAGCUUGUUCUAGUAUGUAGGUUCCUUGUAGAGUUAGAUUUUAACUUGAUCAAAAAGUAAAUCAAAAUGUAAAAAGGGUUGAACUUGGUUCGAGGAAGCUGUAGCUGUUUGAUGAAAGCAUCAAGUAGUUGAGGUCCUUGAAGAUCUCUUGGAUGCAGUGAGAGGUCCCGUUAAUUGGAGUUCUGACUGACCUUAGAUUUGAAAUCGUUUUAAAUAAUCAGCAGUAGUAGUUGUAGCAUUUGGCAAGACAAUGGCAUCCAUAUUACAGAUUUACGGUAAAUCAACAAGGAAAAUUUUGUUUAACUUAUAGAACCAUCGUAAGUUCCAUGAGCUUCAAGAAACACCGCUGAAAGAAUCCAGGAUGUUUUAAAACACUGAAAAAAAAAUCAACUGCGAAUUUUAUUUCCAUCAGUCGCCGUUAUUCUUUGGACAUUCUUCUUUCUUAAUUUUCUGGUGUCAUAGUUGUGCAAUAGCAAAAGUACCUUGGAAUACAAACACUGCAGCAACAAAAGCAACAGCUGGAAAUGGAUAGAAACACACACAUUCCAUGAGUCCAUGACGAAAACACCUUGGGGUACAAACACUGCAGCCACAAAGUUUCAGCUGUGUUUUCCCAACAAGUUUCUGGACUUCUGUCGCAUUUAUUCUGGUCGUACAACAUAUGAGAGAAUUGAUUUCACACCUAAAGACUGCAAGAUAGACUGAGGGCAUUAAACUGUAGCAUGCCUUUAAUUUCACAGAUGCAGUACAACUAAAAGUCACUAAAAAUUUUUACCAUGCCCAUGCGAACGAGAAAAUCAAUACUCCGGUAGCAACAACAGCAGAGGAGCAAGCUAGAGCUAACUGCCACCCUUAAGGAUAAGGUACCAGACUGAUACUUAGGGGGUGUUUGGAUCCUAAAGCUAAAGUUUAGUCCGUGUCACAUCGGAUAUUCGGAUGCUAAUUAGGAGGACUAAACAUGAGCUAAUUAUAAAACUAAUUGCAGAACCCCUAGGCUAAAUCGCGAGACGAAUCUGUUAAGCCUAAUUAAUCCAUCAUUAGCAAAUGUUUACUGUAGCACCAUAUUGUCAAAUCAUGGACUAAUUAGGUUUAAUAGAUUCGUCUCGCAAUUUAGCCUAGGGAUUGUGAAAUUGGUUUUGUAAUUAGUCUAUGUUUAAUACUCCUAAUUAGUGUCCAAACAUUCGAUGUGACAGGGGCUAAAAUUUAGCCUGGGGAUCCAAACACCCCCUUAGCAUAUCAACUACAAAACAACAAAAUGAUUGUAAAUUGAGCUUUAAGAUUCAUCUGAGGUCUGUCACAAUGUUUAAUUACCACAUCAGAAACUUUCUGCUUAAUGUUUAUUUGAAUGGAACUUUUGAAUGCAUAUCAUGAGCGGAAGAGUUGGGCGGCCAAGAACUGGGGCAGACAUUGCAUCCCAACUUCCUUCAAGCAACUCAUGUCUAGAAGGUAGAAGCCUAGCUAGAAAAUGAAAAGAAAAAGAAAACUAUGUACAGAGCAAGGCCAUCAUCACGACAUGGACCUCUGGAUCAGGCGCUCAAUCCCUCAAGCCCUAUCGCAAUCCCGUGAAGGAUGGCUUUAUUCUAGAACGGCAUAGCUUAACACCUGCAAGAAAGCCACAGCAAACAGCAGCAGCUGAACAGGUGCUCACCUCCCUAGUCCUGCGCUAACUCAAAACUGGCAAGAAGUGCCCAGUCUCUGCUUUGCCCUUUGCGCUGUCACGCUGCACUUGCGUGAGCGGAAUGCCUCAGGCAGCAGCUCCCGGAACUUCUCGAGGAACAGCCCCCACAUCUCGGGUCCCAUGUCAGCCAGCUUGACGAAGCUCACACUUGCCGGGAGCAUAUCAUUUGCACUCCCCCAGUUACAAAGUUGAGAGCCAUUGUUGUUGCUGUUGCUCUUUGAAGUUUUCACAGAAUCCACAACCUUAGGACCAGCAGACAGUUGACGCUGGGUUUUGUCUGUUAGACUGACACCCUUCAGUGAGGUUGACAGCUUCGAAAUGUUAGCCAGCCACUUAUUAACAGGCUUAGGGCAAGCUAACUUUCCUGCAUCGCUUUCUACCUCCUCAAUGUCAUCUUCCUCCUCCUCCUCCUCUUCUUCUUCUUCUUCAUCAUCAUCACCCUCAUCCAAUUUAGACAGUUGGUUUCUGGAGUUUCCCCGCUUAAUGUCAAACUGAUGGGCAGAUGGUUCUUUUGGUAUUUCAUGAUCUUCACUGUCGAGUUCAAAUUGAGUUAAAUCCUCGUCACCAGAGUCAUGUUCUGAGGAAUUGUCAUCUUGUUCUGUUGCUAGCCUCCUUGCCUCCAUACAGAUAAACUCUAGCUCACUUGGCUGAUCUUCCAUUCCAGUAAAUUCCCUGCUCAUCAUCUCCCCAAUCUCUGCAAGGCACAGACCAAAUGCUGUGGCUUCUUUCAGAAAUAUGGUUGAGAGUAUUAGUACCCUCAGGCAUGCUUCAUGGAUCAUAGGCAAUUCCAUGCGAAGCAUGUCAGCAUCUUUCACUGGAUCAAGAUUUUCUAUGUACUCGAGCUCAUCCUCAGAGAAUGGGACUGAUGCCUGAGGCCAGUGGAUCCAUUCAAAAUAAGGAUCCUCCAAACACUCCGGAAGGCAGAGACCAUGAUCAAUAGGAAUAAGCUCAGUCAGAUUCCCAAAUUUUCCUGCUCCAGUCUGCUUCCUUACCAGCAGAUUUCCAGCAUGUCUGUCAGUGUUGAAGAUCCUGAUGUCAAGAAUAGCAAUCCUAUGGACAGCAGAAACAGGAAAGCUUGAGGUGCCAUAAUCACUGGCAUCAAAAUCAUGAGGAAUAAACUGCUGAAAUGAUGCAAUCUUGCUAACAGCUUGAGUACCACCCUCAACAACAUUCUUGUUAGCACAGUUGACUCCUUCAUUUAUAUGAAACGCAGGAUGAGAAAUCCUAACGAGAACCGUCGGAGGGACAUUAGCAGAGUUAUCAUAGUCCAGAAGGUAGGCAGCAACUUCUCUAAUACAAGUCUCACCAACUCUAACUGAUCUUUUGAGGCCUGGCUGCCCAAGGGAUUUCCCUACAAAACCUUUUGGGUUGUUGGGAGCAAAUGGCUCCUCAUCAUUUGGCUUCACAAUUGCAGCAUUCUGACCUUUGCUGUUCCUGAAAUAGUAGGCACCACCAAGCCCGCCACUGACAGGUACUGGAUCCACACCUUUUCUUAUAGCCUUAGCAACAUCCUUCACAAGCAGCCUUGUUCGAGAGCAACGGCUUGGGCAUACUAGCAGUUCAAUUGAACGACCCUUAUCUCUUUGCUGCUGGAGAUCAUUGCCCGUAGGAGACAUGCAUGGUGUGGAGGAGCUUCGAUGCAUGGAAUUCUUGGUGAGAAGCAAUGGGGAAUCAUUUCUGAUGGUGCUGAGAUCAUUUUUUAGGACACGAUCACCUAAUACCAGAGAACUCUCCUCGGUGGGAAAAUUAAGGGCCACCUGCAUCCUUCUUUUGACAGUGUGCACAUUGUCACCACGAUCCAGUUGAACAUCCAGGACACAACCAGUGUCCGUUUGGACAAAGAGACGUUUCCAUCUUCCUACCCUGGCUUCGCUUCUACUCUUGGUGGGGUACUCACUGCUAAGAGCUCGGUCCAAGGCUGAAACUGCCAUCUGGGUCUGCACUGGGCUCUCCAAGUUGCGAGACAUAGCGGACACCUACAGAGGAAUUGAGGCCAAUGAACUGGGGGAGCUGCCACAAUGCAGGCUUUCUUGCUUCUCUCUUGUUUUCUUCUGCGCUCGUCAACUUCAGCAGACGAGUGCGAGAGAGACGUCACCAGCAGUGAUCAUCAGGCAAUGACGGCACCAGAAAGCAACAACAAACAAGGAAGGUGAAGACAGCAGGGGGCCGUAACUGAUGAAACUGGACAAGGUUGCUUGUUGAUUGCCAGAUCCUGUGAGAACAGACAGAAUAAGAGGAGGUUAUCAUCGUAUUCCCAAGUCAGAAGAAACUAACAACUAACAAGUAUCAAAACAAGACAAGUAUGAUCUCCUCACUCAUAACUUAAAAACCACUAUAGCAUCAUUCCUGCUCCAAAUGAAGCAUGAAAUAGAAGAUAAGGAAGUUUCCUCAUGGUACACUCAGGCAGUCACGCAAUCAAGAAACCCCAACAUUUCACAUGGCUAAAGUAAGCAUCCAUGUUUGUUAAGGAAAAGUUGGCGCACGCAAGGAGUGGACUACCACUUUCCAUAUAAUUGUUGACCAUUAGGUUGUUUUUUUAAUGUACAUGUUGAAACUAUGAUAUGUUAGUUGAAGAUAGGUGCAUCUUUUGCAGUUUUAUCAUUUAAUUUCAGAUUCGAGCUGUCCCCCCAUCACUCUUCCAUGCAGCAGCCGUAGCAGCAGCUACAGGUGCUCUGGCCUGAGUGCCAGCUGCUGCUAUUUGUGAGCCCGAACGGCUGUGCUGCACAGCACAGCUGCAGCCGCAGCCGCUCAACAAGCAUCUGUGUUUGCUUACCCCAAACCUUUGUCAACCGAUGAGAUCCAGCCAUGCCACUAAAAUUCCACGCGGCAACUGAAAUAAGGAACCUCAAAACCCACUUCUCAGUUCGCCCUAGUAGCUGAAUGCAUCUGCCACCUCAUCUCAUCUCGGAGGGGUUAGUCAAAACUUUAAGCACUUGUCAAAGGUGGCCCUUUUACUACAGGAACAUCGUAGCCGAAUCUACACUCUCCGGUAGAUGCACAGGCACAAAUUCUGCUCCGCAGUUUUAUCGACACAGAUCCGCAGCUGCUAGAAGCAGAUGAAGAAGCAAAUGCCUAACGCUAUGACGUCAAGACUCAAGAGAAGUAGAAUAUUAACACCAACAUGUCCGCUACCAUCGAUUCACCAUGCUGAGGUGAGGAAUAAGGCAGCCAAGCUGAGAGCUUAGCGCAGCGGCAUAGCAAAAGAAACCAUCGUUCUGGAAGCUACUAGAAAUGGAGCUGUGCGCAUCUAUGUGCAAGAAACCACAGGUCUUUCCUGCUAAACAUGCCACCCUUUGCUCUCCCGGCCAAACAGAUGAGGCAAAAACGGAUAAAUAAUAAACAGAGCCGGCAGAAUUAGUGAAAUGAACACCAGCUCGAACGGAGGACCCCAGGAAAAUCGGGGAGGAGAAGCCCCCAGCCGUACCUGAUCCAAUGCGGAGCCUCGGGAAUGGUGGCCUGCCGCCGGCGGAGUCGCAGAUCUGGCACUGCGCCGGUGCCGCCUCCGCUGCCGCACACCGAGAAGGCACCACCACCCGUCCCUGCCCGGCGGCCGGCGCAGCACCACCAACUCUCGGUCGCUGGCAGCACACCCCCACCUCCCGGCGCCCCCCACUGGCCGGCUCUGCCUCCCAACUCCCACUCACGCUUCUUCAAUCGUUCUUGGCGUCCGUGCUGUGUGUUCGUGCGCAGGGGUGGUGCCUCAAGUAGGGGGUGAGGGAUGGAUUAAUAGAGGGGGUUAAGGAGGCGGGGUUAGCAUAACCAUGGUUAGAGAGAGAGAGACGCGAGUUGUGCGUGAGGGGAUUGGUCCAGGCAACAGGCUUCUCUGCAAUUUUCCUUUUUGCGCUUGACACCCUCUCUUUUCCUUGAAUUAGGUUGCCAAUAACUAUAGAGUAUAUUUCUAGUAUUUGAAGAAAAAAAAACUUGGACUUCUAAGAAGGAACGGGUGAUUUGCAUAAAGGACCUUAUUUUAUUUAUUUAUAUAUAUAUAUAGAAAUAUAAGAGGGCAAGCCCCUAGAGGACCUUAUUUUGCUCACUCCCUUGUAAUGGAAAUUGUCAAUUAUAAUUGUUUUGUUUGGCAGUUUUGGAACACAAUCGCUUGGUGCGUGUACAAGUUUGCGUUACAUGUUGUUUGUUUUACGUACGCUACAAUUAGCUGCCAUGUAACGGGCCCUUAGGAAGCCGACACUGCCCACGCUUGGGCACGUUUUGAUUCCACAGCUCCACGUACGCUACAAUUAGCUGCCAUGUAACGGGCCCUUAGGAAGCUGACACUGCCCACGCUUGGGCACGUUUUGAUUUCACAGCUCCUAUGUGACGGGUUCAUAUAGGAAACCGACACCGCUCACACCUUGGCACCUUUUGAUUUCAAGGCAUCAUCUUACUUUCUCUUAAUAUUCUUCUUGCUAUAAUCCCUUCUUACAUACGAUACAGUUAGAAGAAAGGCAUUACAUUGAGGUGAGGGUACCAUGAAGAGGAACCAUUUUCUAGAAGAUGGGAAACGGAUAGGACGCAAUUACCUGAAUAUUUUGCUAUCUACGCAUCACUAGAAUUUUCCUCCUAGGUAGGGUAUGGCGUUGUUGACAAGAGCUUAGCUUUUGGAUGAUUGGUGAAUGCUUUUUGUUGCGAGCAUGAUAGGUUACCAUGUUGUGGAUUCCUUGAGAGUGGCACUCACAACUCAUUGACCUUAGCUGCGGAGAUGUACCACUACAUGAUGGUUGCGUUGACUAUACUAUGCUUGCCACUAUUACCAUUGAGCCUAUCACCGCCAAAGAGAGAUGGCCUUCGGCGCCAAGCAAUUUCCAUUUUCUUUACAAGAGGAACCAAAUGCUAGCAUGUUCCAUUGUAUUGUUUCUUGCUCUAGUGUCUUUAUGUUUGCAUUCACAUUUGCCCAGUAGGCAUUACCUUAGUUUCAUAGUAACUAUAGUCUAUACGUAGAAACAUUAGUUGGGCAUAUGAUAGAAAGGAUACCCUAUGUACUAUAUCCAUCGAUAGCUUCUAGGACGGCAUUGCUCCUAGGGCUCUUAUCCAUAGAAACCAUCUCCCUUACUCCCUCUUGGCGAUAUGCAUUCCCCAACUUUGGCCACAUAUCUCACUUACUCCCUCUAGGUGAUAUCCUCUACCCACACUUUGGCUAGCCUAUUUGGUAGUUUUAUUUUGUACAUUAGCAUUGCUUUGAGUGUAUCUUCUAUGUCACCACUACCACUCUAGUCAUACUAACUAGGUAGGCUCGUUUUAGCAUCUUGACUAAAUGUUAUACAAUCAGCCAUAAUGUAUAAAACAACCACCAUACAUAUAGAAAUCCUCUACAUACACAUUGUGCCCUACUCCAAAGACCAAGGAAAGCCUAGUUUGUCCACUUGAUCAACCAUCCCUCCUCCCUCCACAAUUCAUGGUCUACUCAUUGUGGUUUGUUGCAUCCCUGUUGAGAAUACAUCUUCCUCAUUUGAUCACUCCAAUCCCUAGAUCUCAUUCAAAGUAUCAAUCAAGGUUGUAGUUAUGCCACCAUAGGUAACUUUUGGUCUAUAUGUUUCGUUCCCCCAUGAAAAUCCUGUUUUGUAUCCCCCAAACUUUCAUAGAUGAACAUUUUGUAAUUAUCUCUUACCUCUUGUUUGAGUGCAUCACUUAAUUUCUUUAAAUUGUCUUCGGGUUUAAAUUUCCAUCCAUGUGUUCUCUCUAGAGUUUCUAACAUCAAUAGUGCUCAUUCGGGAUUUAGGCCUUCUAUUGAUUGGUCCAAUCUCCGGUUUGUCACAUGUGGGCUGUUUGAUGAUACUUGGGCUUAACGGUUUUGUCGGAUUAGGAUUGGAUGGAGUAGGUCAUAGGCCCAUUUCAAACCUAAAAUAAUCCCGAUGCCUAUUGCCCACCCUCUUUUUCUGGGCCGCCAUCCACUACUUACCCGAUGUGCUAUUUAAAGCAAAUGUUACUUAGAUAUACAUGUUAGGCUUUAAGUUGGGCUCAAUUUCAAAGGUUAUAGGUUGGGAUCAAACUAGAUCUGAUUGUAGGCUCAUUUUGAAAUAUAGUCUACCAAUAGUUUUGGAUAGGUAUACUAGUUAGCCCAUGUACCUCCUUGGCCCCUAGCUAUCAUUCACUUGUGAUUUGGACCGUCUAGCUAGCACUUGGUUAAAUGGCACACAGAACCAUAAAACCUAACAUUAGUUUGCCUCAAGCUCUCCAUUGACUUGUCGCUAUAUGAGGGUGAGUGUUGUUUCAUUUAAUUUGCGUAUCCUAUCGUGAAAUUUGCGAAUAUUAGAACACAUGUUCCUUGUAUAUCCUCAUUGGAUACACACUAUGAGCUUACUAUUGUUCCAUUCUAUUUGUGAUGACAUCGCAAAAAAGCAUGAAAUGAUAUUCUCAUGAAAAAUAAUAGGGAUAAAUUUCCUUCUACCAUGGCUACACAAAUGGAAUGUUGGCAUAAAUUGAAGGAGCCCUUUCAAUUAAAAAUCUACCAUAAGGCCCUUUCAAGUUUGAUCCACCAACUGUAUUUCAAAUGAACUUUUAUGUUUAAUGCAAUGUUUACUACACCAAAUUGAGUUUUUCCCUCAAAUUUUGUGAUGGCUUCAUCAAUUUCUCUAGUACCAUUGCUUGGCAAUGCUAUAAGAAAAACAAAGUAUGCCCUUUCUGUUUUGAGUAAUAGCGGGAUAUAGACGAAAUCAUUCAUAAUGGGUUGAAGAAGGGCACGGUGCCUAUUAUAGUACAUAUAAGAAAAAUGAAAAGUUUUUUAUAGAUUGUGUUGUAACAAGGUUCAAAUCAGCAUACUAGGUAGGAUGUUUGUAUGCAACUAUCACGACGCUUCCUCAUAAAUUCAUAUGUAAGUCAACUAACAUUUCUUAUAGCAAAGAAAACCAUAAUUGUUGAGUAUUUCAUGAACUAAAUGUCCAAUGAACCUUUCACAAAGGGGCAUAUAACUAAUUCAUAGAGAAAACUUGUCUAUCUAGGUUUACCUAUAUGAAGGGCUACUUCACUACGAUCCCCAAGACUAUUUUUGAAUCAUAGGGAAAAAGUUACAUUGAUGAAAGUUUGGUGGAUCCAAUAAUAAAUUGUAUCCUACCACCUUCAAGGAAAUAACAAACAAAAUCUAACACGAUAGCCACACCCCAUCCCCCACCCCCCGACUGAUUUAGUGGUCCACUGCUUGUGAUAUUCUUAUCCUCUUUGCUCCUCCACGCCUUUGUAUACGGCCAUGACACCCUUAUUCUCCAUACCUAACAUGGGCUACUCUCCCAUUCUUCACUUCUAGACACUAUCUAUCACACUCACCCACCUAACAAACCAUAGCAUAUGCCCUUUUCUUGCCCUACAUGUGGCCUUUUGUUAGCACAUGGGACCUCAGUGAUGCUGAGGAGCUCAUCCGCUCAUUUUCCUUCGACCACCAUAUAGAUCAAUGUAUGAUCACCAAUUGUGAGCUCAUCGAUAUAUUUUUGCCAUUCCAACAUCUAGAGGGAAGGGAUGUGCCCGUAGGAAGGGAAUAGGUUUGUGAUUUUGUCAAUCUUGCCUGAUGAUGUAGAUAGCUUGAGUGAGAUGCAUCACCGGUGAGUGAACCUAGUCCAGUGUAACCAUAUUUUGUUCUCCCUCUCUUCUAUUUCUUUUUCUGCUCUCAUCUACUACAUGGAAGAGCAUCAUCCUAGUGUAAAAUAAUACUAGUGGAUCCUAUUUUUUUCCUCGUUUUGCUUUAGUAAGAACAAAAAGAGUUACAAACAAAUUAAUAUUUUGAUGACAUUAUUCUCUGCAAAAUUGAACAUAUUUGUUUUCCCUCUCUCCUCUAGUGGCUCGGUUUGGCAGGCACAUUGGAGUAGCACUAUUUACCCAUGACAUGACAGUCCAAGACAUAGAACUAGGAUCAUCCUCCUACUCAACCCCUAAUACAAAUUGAAAAAUGAAGGAACGGAGAAGGUGCAGAUCUUCUAGGUGGUAACUACAUUAUUGGUCGAGCUACCAUAUAUUGUUUCAGUCAUGGUCCAAUUCUAGUAUUGGUGCAUUUCCUCAACACAAUUUGAUGUGCUCCUACAUUCUUGAUCUUGAGUUAAUAUUUUAGAAAUGUCCAAGGACCUUACUAUAAAGAUAUAAUUUCUAAAGUUCUCUUCAUGAAAGGUAGGAUCAAUGUACUAAUUUAGCAUUUUUUGGGGGGUUGAUCUAAAAUUAGGCCACAAGCUCUUCCAAAUAAAAGCUAGACUUGCUUUUUCUUUAGUUUUAUGUGAAGUUGUUUUGGUAUAUUGGAGCUUUGCGUAGAUAAAGGGAGAGAAAGGUACAGUGACAUGUCCAAGUCAAGUUUAGUUUGUCUCUAUUAAGUACAGUCAUGAUAUGUAUAUCUACCUAAAUAUUAUGUGUAAAGAUACAUACAUUUUCACUAGAUAUGCACUAAAUUCAGUUAGCUAUGGCUCCUUUACUUCGCUUAACACGGAAGUACAUCUUGUUCUCGUGACACUGGCAUAGCAAGAAGCUUCAUAUCCCUAUUUUGCAUUGUCCUUUUUGUCUUGCAUCAAUGCAUCGCAUGGUUGUGCUCAUCGUGACAGGCUACUGGAGAAUGCGUGCAAGAUUAGGGCCGUAGUGUUGGUCCCCAAGAAAACCAGGUUCCCUGCACAUAGGAACUUUACACCGGUGCUCCACGUCAAGCAUGUCUACCAUGCCAGUUUCUUGUCAAGGGAUAAGAGAUGAGGCUCAUGAUGUGGUUAUCCGAGGUGUUUUCUCUUUUGGUUCACAGUAGCAAGUGUGAGUGCAAAUGUACAUGGUGUGAUGAUGAACAUACCUUGUGAGUUUAUUGUUGAAUGGGAAAAGUUAGCUUUUUCUGUUUGUUUGUUUAGUCUUGUGCUCCUUUUCUUUCCGUGAAUCACUACAUGUUAGCUUCAGUUUUGUUUGUAAUGUCUUUUUAUUAAUUACCUUUUCUGUCUUUUGCUAGAGUGUACGCAUGCUAUAGAUAUCCCUUGUUCUAUGUUGAAAGUUGUUUUAAAGUGGGGUUCACGUAAAAUGAUGUAACUUAAGGGAUUCUCCAUGUCUGACGCAAAAGAUACUUUAAAGUGACUCACAUGGAAUUAUGUAUCUUAAUGCAUAUCUCUAGGAUGUGUAAGUUUUUAGUAGGUGGGCCUAUUCAUCCAUAGCUCUUUUCACGUAAAUGUACUCCUACCCUGCUUCACCCCCACAAUUUUCUAUAAUAAUGUAAAAAAUUUAGAACAUAAAAAUUUAGAUGUUGUUCUUUUGCCAAAAUUUAGAUAUAAGUGCAUAGAAAUCAAACAAUCUAACUCAAUAAAUUUUUGUCAAGGGUACUUUGAAUUUAGAGCAUAUAUCAUCUUUUGUUACUCAUUUGAAUGGUGUAAGAGAAACUACUUUACUAGCGUUUGUCUAACAUGCAUAAUGGACAUUCUGUGUGAACUUGUAGUGAAAUGUAGAAAAGUUAGCUUUUUCUGUUUGUCAGUUUCGUCUUUAUGCUCCUUUCGUGCCUUGAAUCACUACAUGUUAGUUUCAGUUUUGUUUGUAGUGUCCUUUCAAUUACCUUUGCUAUGCUGGAGUGUCUGUAUGCUAUGGAUAUCCCUUGUUGCGUACCGAAAAAAGGAGUUGUUUUAAAGUGGGAUCCACGUAUGAUAAGAUUCACAAUGUUCCAUUCAAAAGUACUUUUCAAAGUGGGACUCAUGUGAGUGAGGUGGUCCUAAUACAUAUCACUAGGAUGUGUAAGGUUUUAGAAGGUGGGCCUGCUUCUCCAAAUUAUUUUCUAUAGUAAUGUAAAAGUGCCGACUGUAUUUUUUCCCCCAAACUUUAUAUCUAAGCGCGAAGAAAUCAAAUAAUAUAACGCAAUAAGUUACUCUCACAAGAGUUUUGAAUUUGGGUCAUAAUCAUCUGUGCUACUUAUAAUAGAAUACUAUAAGAGAAAAUACCUUGCAUUGCAUUGCAAAACCUACCGCCAUCAUAUACUCUCCGUACGACUCUGCAUCAAGCACGCAUGCAAUUAAAGUACACCAAAGUAUUUGCAACGCGUGAUCACUCUCGCUCAGAUUCUUUGUGUUCUCACUUCACUAGUUUCCAUCCUGGAGCGCUGUCAAUUCCACUAUGCCGUGCCUGCAACUCACAGCGACAGCGCCACACGAAUUUGAGCUCAGUUGCCGUGUCGCCAUUGCUUGAGCCAAAAAAGCGACAAUGGAGAUAGAUGCGAAAAAGCGCACGCGAGAAAAUGACGUGCCACACGGCGGAGCGGCAGCGGGGAUCGAACGGCGACGGCGACGCACACACGGGCGGGCUAAUAGCGCAACCUGUCGGAAGGAGCAUGGAACCUCCGGCUGGAUGGAGUCUCGCUUUUGUUUCCAGCUGCUCAGACUGAGGGUGAUUGCCAUGGCUGUCGUUCUUUCUUUCUUCUUUCUGAUGAAGCGGCUUUCUUUUCUAAGCGGCAUUGCCGUCGUUCAUUUGCUGUACCGAUGAUCAGUUGACAAUAUGCUUCAAUGUAGAGCAAAGUUACGCGCCAUAAAGAAGUACUAACGUGGCUGAUUAUUGAUUGUAUAAUAGGGCGGACCAAGUAGCUCUUCUGGGGUCUGUUUGGUGGAAAAUUCCUCUGCUUCAAAUAGCUCCUUGUCCAACACUAACAUAUAUUUUCAUCUCAUGUUUGGUCGUCAAAUUUAUAAACAUACACAAAAGUUAGCAAAUUUAAAACCAAGCAACACCCCUCUCCUCUCUCAGUAUUGGGAGGGAGCGGAAGACGAUGGCUGGCGCAAUGGAGAGGAGGAUAGCCAUAUACCAUUAAAAUUGGAGAGACGCCUGUAGGUGCGGCGCAGGGUGGGAGGUAGCGAGGCAUGGGUGCCUUGGGAAAGGUGGUGGUGGCACUUUCGCGGGUAGAGGAGGAUGGUGCAGUACUCGGACAAGGGAGAUUUGGCAAAGUUUGAAGAGGGCAAUAGGCACUCGAUCAAGUCAUCCAUCAAGAUAUUAUAUUUUUCUCUAGCUAAAUAGCUAGUUGGAUACACUUAAGGCAUUAACUGAUGCUUGGCAAUGGUUUGUGAAGCAUCCUCACAUAAGUACAGACUAAAUGUGAUCCAAUUAUCAGUCCUAGAAGGUUGAUAACACAUUUAUUCAACAGAUAGUUCAGAAACCGUACAGCUCCCGAAGGAGCGGGCGGGCAAGCCACACCCAAAGUAAAACUAAAGCGAUAACAAUACAAAUCCAAGUUGCAGUCCAGUCGGACUCUGGGCUGCAAUCGGAACUAUGCGUCAGCGGAAGCAUCCUGCAAAAGAGCCAACACCGCAGGCAGCAUUGGGUGCAGACGCAACCACCUACUCGAAGUCCUCGGCGACGUAGUCCGAAUCCUCCUCUGAAGCAACAAAACAGGGGUGAGUACAAAAGUACUCAACAAGUCCAACCCCAUCCACGGAGGGGGAUACAGCAAGAAUAUGCAUAGCAUACAACAAGGAUAAGGUUAUGGUUCAUUUGCAAUAAAGCUAGAUUUUCAACUCAUGCAAGGGUUCAUUUUUCAAGAGUUUUCACAAAGUAUUUUAUUCAGCAAUCGAAACAUUAAGUGGGGUUGAUCCUACAAAAAGGAUCCAAGUUUUAUCGCUACCGGACUCCCCAUUCGCCGUAGCGCACGGCACAACUGCCGGACACUUCCAAAAUCCAACACACACCGAAGAAACCAACCAUCCCCAAAAGCUAGUUAUGUGACCAAGCUGUAACUCGUCCAAUGCCGUGGACAUGGCUACCCGGAUAGGUUUUAACUCUGCAGAGGUUGUAUACUUUUCCCACAAGUAGGGUACCGCGACACGAUCACCUUAGUGACGGUGCGGAUCCUAACAAAGCCAUAACCCACCUUAGCCAAAACUGACUAGUCAACACGGAAGCACCCAAGGGGUUAUCAACCCAUCCACGAGGUCGAAAUCGGGACCUAAGUCACCAAGAGCUUAAUCCUUUUCCAUGGGCUCUCGUUGCUCACCAACACACCUGAAGCCUAGCAGCUUAGCUAGUGGGGUUUAUGCUAAGCCGUUGCCCAUACAACGAUCAAGUGGUUGCACAAUGGUUGAAUUAGGUAAGAUGACACAUCAACUCGGUCCUUAACCAUGACAAGAUGGAUAUCUCCCAACCUUACUCAACCACUAAGGUACGAGCUCAUCAAUCCGGCAUUUCACACAAGAAACGCCCAUCCAUCUCAUCCAUGCACCACUUCUCUUUACACUCGAAAACCCAUCUCCUCAGUGGAACACACUCACACAUUUAUUUUCUAAAUAAACAGGUGUAGUCAUGAUUGAUUUGAGAGUAACGAGUUCCUAAGCUUUCUAGCAGUAUUUAUCGUCUAAACAGAGCAACUCAUAUUUAGAGAUAAAUAUGGGACGACAAGGAAUAAUCACAACAAUCAAGGGGUGGCUAUCCAACCAUGUCUUGCGAUAAAACUAUAUGCAUUUUAUAAAACAGGCCUAUAGGUUGUGUUUGAAAAACUAGGUAGUAAAUAUGCAUCAAAGGAUAAGGUUGGACUUGCCGUUCUCAAAGCCCUCCAGGAGCUCCUGCUCGCGGUACUGAUCCUCGGGCUCGGGCUCGCGGUCGAACUCCUCCUCGGAUACUCCGCGAUCUACAGCACACACAAACGAGCACACAAUAAAUAAAAAGGAAAUAAGAUUUUACCCGUUGAGCUCUGAACAGGAAAUGUGAACGGAAAAUAGGUAGGAGGGGUAUUUUCAUGAAAUUUGGAUAUGCCUCGGCGGAAAUAUAUGAGAGGAGGCUGUGGUAAAAUUUGGGAUCGAUUGGAGGAGGUUUGGCGCAUGAAAUGAUGGGUUAAAGGGGUGUUAGGGGCUUUAAAACAAGGUUUAGGACUAAACCACGAGAACCAGGGACCUAUUUGUAAUUAUUUCUGAAAUGGUGGAAGGGCUUGUUUGCGAAUAAGGGAAACUAGAGGGUUAGAUCGUGAGGGGAGGGAUUUUAUCCCUUUCUUCUUCCUUGGGCCACAACAAGACAUGGGGAGGGGGAUGGCCGGCGGCGGGCCGGCCGGCCUAGCUCGCCGGCGGCGAGGCCAAGUGGUGGGGGAGGGAGAGGAGAGUGUGGGGGGGCCAUUUUGGCCCUCACCUUGGCCGGCUAAUGGUGGGGAAGGGGGCGCCGGCAUUGGUCCAGGAGGUGGCGGUGGCGGGUUACCGGCAGUGGCGUGUGGUGACGGGGAAGAGAGAGCGAGCAGGGAGGCGGUGCCGGGGGUGUGGGGAGGCGGCAGGGGCUCGCCCCCCCCCCCCCUUAUAGGCGGCGCAAGGGCGGGCGGAGACCGGGGUAAUGAUGGUGGCCGGACCUUUGGCCGGUGGCGUGCCGGGAUGAAGAAGCUCGUGGACGGCGUGGCGGCGCGGUCGACGAGGGCACAGGGGCGGCGACCGGCGACGCGACGCGCUCGGCCAAGCGCUAGGCGCCAAGGCGCGAGCGCGGGGGGCGCGGCGCGGCGCGGCAGGGCGGGUGGCCCGGCGCGGGCGCGCGUGCAGGGCAGGAGCCAAGCGCCUGGCGCUAGAGGGAAAAGAAGGAGGCAGGGAAAAGAAAGGAGAGAGAGAGGAAGGAGGAAGAAAGAGAAGGAAGAAGGAAAAGAAAAGGAAAAAGAAGGAAGAAAGGGAGGGGAAAAGGAGGGAGAAGGGAAAAGAGGGAGACGGCGGAAAUUGCGGGAUUUGACGGCACGCAUGAUGGACUUGACGGGCACGCGGCGAAAAAUACGGGGAACGGAAAAUGAGGGUUGACGACGUCGGGGCCGGAACGGCGAAUCCGACGGGAAGGAAAAGAUUUGUCGGGGCUCAUCGGUCGGAAAAUUUUGGAAUGCAUUUUUAACGGGUGAUUUAAAUUCGUAAUUUUUAUAGGCGUUACAGUUCGGUAUAUGUGGAUAGUUUCCAGACGUUGAAAAGAGAUCAAAGAGAUGGAGGGGGAGGGGACAAUGGCCCCUUUUGCUACGUCACUAUCUGUAGGUACCAUCUCAUACGAAGGACUAUCAAGUAAGGUAUUAUAUCACCAUAAUCGUACCGGUUUAUUUAGAUAAUUGAGAUGGAUAUUUCUUUAUAUCAAGAUUCUAUUUGUCCAACAAUUAUUUUAUUGUACAUUUCUUUUUAAUAAGUCGUGUGAGGAUAGCCCUAGAACGGAAAUGUUCUAGAUCCACUAAUAUUAGUACAUUGAAAAUAGCUGUCACGUGCACGCUGACGAGGCUCCUUGAAACUGCAAGGCCCCGAGAUUUCCUUCAGACAAGCAAAGCUCCCAUUUUCGUACAAGUGCAACUACACAGGAGAUAAGCUCUGGGGAAGUUCAUCUCCUUUAACUUGGCCUGCAGCACACACAUCACAAGUGCGGCAUGCCGCAUGGUGUCCUAAACAGCAAGGUCAGCUCGCUAGCUUUUAUUUUUUCAAUAAAGAGCCGAAGACGGUGGCCGGUGUGAUGGAGAGGAGGAUGGUCACACACCGCGAAGUUGGAGGGACACCUAUAGGUGUGGUGCUGGGUGGGAAGUGGCCAAGUUUGUAUGCCUUGGGAAAGGCGGUGGCGACGCUUGCAUAGGAAGAGAAGGAUGGUGUAGCACUCUGACAAGGGAGACUUAGCAAAGUCGAAGUGAGCAAAUAGGCUCUCAAUUGAGUCAUCCAUCGAGAUAUUAUAUUUUUUCUCUAGCUAAAUAGGCUAGUUGGACACAUUUAAGACAUUAAUUAAUGCUUGGCAAUGUUUCGAAUCCUCCAGAUAUAGAGCUACCUCCGUGAUCAAAUGGUAAAAGUUAAACGUAUUGUGGAUAGUGUGUAGAUGUUCUAAAGAGAUCAAAGAGAUGGAGGGGGGGGGGGGCAAUAGCCCCUUUGCUCCGUCACUAUCUGCAGGUACCAUCCUCACAUAAGAGGUUGUCAAAUAAGGAUAUCACCGUAUCCGUAUUAUUCUAUUUAGGUAAUUGCGAUGGAUAUUUGUUUAUAUCAAGAAUUCUAUUUGCUCAGUAAUUAUUUUAUCGUACAUUUCUUAGAAUAAUUAAGUUGUGCGAGGAUAGUCCGUGAGCGUAAAUGUAUGUUUUAGAUCCAAUAUUAAUGUUUUAGAUGCAAUAUUAGUACGUUAAAAAUAGCUGCCACAAUUGUAAUAUAUGUAUUAUUCUUUUAUUUCCAUCUCAACUCAAAACCCACAAUAAUACACACACUCGUGGGCAUUGUUUCCCAAUAUGGUGACGACGAUGCUAGGGAGACUGCAGAUUUCUGAAACUCGGUGGGUGUUUCCGUGUUUGGUGAGAUCGUAUGGCUGCCCCUCCGACAGGGACUCCCCUGUUUGGCCCAUUCGGAGCCGUCAGCCUCGCCACAGCCAGCAACCAGGGGACCAGCCGCUUCAUUUCUUUCUCUCUGUUCACUGAACAGAGAUUGGGAAGAGAUGUGUGGUUGCAAUUUGCUGUCGUGGCGGUUGAGGCGGCAAUUAACAGCUGAUGGAGACGAUGCUGGCUGAGGUGUCAGUGGUCGCUGGCACAAUUAUCCGUCAGCAAAAAGUGCAGGGACGAGGCAGGAUGUGCUUGGUUUUUCGACCACGUCCCACUUGAUGAUCCCACCAGCUGGCAGCUCUCUCUGUGUGUGUGACCAUGCCAACAGUAAAAGCGCAAAGGAACAGAGGAUGAUGUUCAUCAUAUCUAUCCAUUUGUGCAGUAAAUAUGGGCAUAUGCUGUGAUUUUUUUAAUUAUGAUGCAUCUCCUACUCUCCUGAGUGCUGAGUUAGAAGAAUGCAUAGAUUUGCUAGUUCUAAGGUGUCUUGUAUCUCACUAGUGAGUAAGUCAUUUUUUCGCAUGACACUUGUACAUGCUUUUCUCUCGACCUGUGCUAUGAUUUGCAGUAUAAUACGUUGUCUUGGAGUUUAGUUACAUCUAAGUCAUUUCGCCCUUGCAUGGCUGAAAAAGACGCACUUAAUUAAAAAAAUAUUUUAGCUUCAUAAAAAAAUGCAUACUCUAAGCUUAUGGAUAACGUCUUGAUUAAAUCCAAUGGUUAAAAAGUUGAAAAGAAUACAUUGUUAUGGUCUUAUGGACAACGUCUUGAUUAAAUCCUCUGUAACUUACACAUAAGCAAUAUUCAGCUAACCAUUCAGCUCAUAAAGUUCUUGUGAUGGAACCUGCCCACUCGGGUGGAGUGCACGUGCGUGCAUGCGUGUGUUGGUAUGAACGUAUACUUAUGUAUUAUGUUUUGCAAAAGAAAAGUAAUAACCUAACACUAUAUAUACCAGCAACACUUGGAAAUUUGUUAAGUUGUGGCGGACAAAAAUUUACUUAUCACAAGUUACGCAUUCUGCCACCAACCUAAAAGUUAAAAAAAAAACGCACACACCUAGGGUUUGUGCGAUUCUGGAGGGCUGGCGGCAUAUAAGAAGAACCCAAAAUACCGGCCGGGCCAGCGAUGAAAGCAACUCGAGCGGUGGAUGGAUCUGCCACUCCCUCCGCCAGAAACUCUUGUUUGAGACCUCGGCUUAACUAAGCUGAUUGGAAGUUUAAGAAAGAGACCAUCGAAAGCGAUAGGACGUAAUCCCUCCGUUCCAAAUUAUAAGUCAUUCCAAUAUUUUUGGAGGGUCAAAGCAUCUCAAGUUUAACUAAAUUUAUAUAAUAAAGUACUCCCAUUCAUGAUAUUAAAUAAGCAUCAUUAGUUUAUUCAUUAAUAUAUUUUCAUAAUACAUCUAAAUUUUUGUGAUCCUCUCUAUAAUUUUGACCAAGAAAGUUGGGAACGAAGGAAGUAAUUCUAGGUUUGUCAACUACGGCGCCAAGAAUCCGGGAAAAAUAUAUUCACAACAAGAAGAAUCUGUGGGGAAAAGAAAUAAACGAACCAACAACUCGGGCAAGCAAGAGAAUUUGACGGAUACAAGUGGAAGGUAGCAACCAAGUGAUAGCUACGUCGUUGUCAGCGCAUUGCAAGACAUGAAAUGGAAAUCUAGCUUGAUUCUGGACUUAUUCGAUUUUGAUGACAAAGAAAGUAGUGCUCCUAUCGCGUAUGGGCGGGCACUAAUGAUGGAAAAGCAACCAUGUGGGUAAUUAUUGUUUAUAUAGUACAGUGACGUCCAGGUAUAGCAACAAAAUUUUCCUCUCCAGAUUAAUCAAGGAGAUGGAAAUCACGUAGGAUAUUGGAAGCUUGGAAUUGAAUUGGCAAGACGUGCCAUAUCUUUGCUGGGCCAAAUGUCCCUGUAAACGAAGAAAUAGCUAGUAAGCUCAAAAGUCCAAGUAGUGUUUGAUUUUUGUUAUUGAUGGAUGGAUGAUGCGAGGUAAUGGCAGAUUAAUUUGGAAGGAAAUUUUGACAGUGUCAUCUCACGUGAUAAGGGAUUAUUUCCGUGAGUACUUCAGCAAUUUUAAAUUUUAAAUUAUAAGUCGUUUUAAUUUUUUAGAAUUUGUAAAUAUUAUUAUUUUUAUGUAUCUAUGUAACGAAAUCUGAAACCAUCUGCAUGCAAUUUGAAACAACGGAGGGAAUGCUUAGUACUCAAGAAAUGCCAUCUCGUAUCUUGAAGCCAUCAAGUGAAAUCGCCCGCGUAGGUACACUGAACCACGCAAUUAGCAGGUUGAUCGUCCUGCAGGAAAACAGAGCUGAUGUGUGUGUGUGUGUGUGUGUGUGUGUGUGUGCUGUGUGCCAUGACUCGAAACCUCGUGACCGCACAUGCAUGAAAGGGACCAAGCAUGCAUGGCCAAAGGAGAACAGGCGGUCAGCUCUCAUCAGCUAGUAGAUUCAACCGCACGAUAACGUACGUGCCCUGCUUUCCGUCCACGUACGAUGUACCCUGCACGAGCACGACGCGGCCGGAAAGAGAUCCCCUUGACCACAGAGAUCACAGACCUGCCAUCGGAGCCGUCCACUUGCCCUCCUCGUCCUGUUUCUCGAGAUCCUCGACACCUCCAGCCGCGGGCCCCGCGCAGGUCACGUGCUGUCGCCGCAUGCACGUGCGGCCCGCCGGCGGUGGCUCCCUCGCCGCAUGUCGCCGCGCCGGUGAUCAUCGCAGGGUCCGACACGCGUCGAUCGAUCGUCUCCCAGAAGAUGCAAAAAGGCGCACUCGGUAGAAACGACGGGAUCAUCGUUUUUUAUCGAUCGAUCGAUCGAAGGCGACGCGCACAGCAGCACAAGGUAGCACUGUAGCAGGCCAGCCAACCUGUCGAAAGGAGAACGGAGCCUCCGGCUGCUGUCUGGCUGGCCAAAGUACGUAUCUGUUUCGGUGUUUCCCAACCCAUGCAUCUUGAGGUAUUCGGUGCCAAGACAAAUGUCCAUCGCCAUCCGGUAGUCAUUCGAUCGGGUAUACUUCUUCCGUCCGUAAAGAAAACACAAGUCACUUAAAGUUUGACAUGUCUUCAAGAGUCUUUUUUUUGCUAAUGUUCUCCUCCUAUAUGUUGUAAAAACCACCCCAGCGAGCACAUGCUCAAGGGAUUUAACACGUUUUCAUAAGUUAACAGCCACCAGUACGAUCUUUACCGAAAUUACAUACUUCUAGUAAAAUCUUGAUCCUUUUUGAGAUUACACAAAAAGAAUUACUCACGAGAGGCUAAAUGUUGUGGUUUCGAUAUUUACACAAAAACUUCAAUGCAACAUAAUGAAUAACCAUAAUGCAAGCGGUUAACGAACUCAACUCAGCUAACUCGACAUGAAGUGGCUCUAUAUCAGCGAAACCGAUUGAAUCGGUUACAGGAGAUGCUUGGCAGCAGAAAAAAAAAACUAGCUCCACUCCACCAACUUCGUGAAAACAUAAAGUUGUUAAAGUUGUUGUACGUAUUUGGUAGUCUAUUUUACUUUGAAUGGGCCCACGUAUCGGUCUCUUCUUUUCUCCCCUCCUCUUCCUCUCUCUUCUCUUCUCAAUUUUGGACGGUGCAACAUGUAUUACAAGAAAUCAUCAUGAGAAUUGUAGAACAAUCCUGCUCAUCAAUCCUCAAUCCAAAUCACAACUCAGACCUCAACAAAGCUGGAGGCAAAAAAAAAUUCGUCAAUUCCUUCUAGUUCCACCAAUCCCCCGCGAUGGCGAUGGCGCUCUGGCCGCGAGCGGGGAGCUCCUGCUGCUUCAGUGUCUACUCCAGUCCUUUCUCGCCGUCGCGGCCAUCGCCGCCAAGCCAGCCGCCGGCGCGCGUCUGCGUCUCGCCCUGCCGUCGUCCCGCCGCGCGCGCAUCUUGGCCUGACUCGCAACGGAGGCGCCGCCGCCGCCGCCCCCAACCGCGGGGGCGGGGGUGGCGUGGCAGGAGCUCUCGACGGCGAGCCUGGCGGUCAUGGAGGACGCAGGCGCCACCCCUGGCUCGUCCUCCUCGUCGGCGUCAGCACGGUCGUGACGGGUGGCGGAGGUGCGGCCAGCGCGGCCCCGCGGGGUGUCGGAGGUGCGGGUCUGCACGCGGCGGCGGAGGCCUAGCCACACGCCUGACGAUGGACAAUGCGGCGGACCGCGUGGUGGCAGCGCGGGCCUGCGCGAGGCGUAUUGCGCGGCGGCGGCCCGGCCACACGCACAACGGCGGACCCCACGGCGGGAGACGCCCUAGCAGCCACGGCCACACCCGCCGCCCCGGCCACCACGGCCAUGGCCGCCCCUUGGGCCGCCCAAGGUGCCACGGCCAAAUUCGAUCCGGAUGGAGGAGCUGAUGAAGGAAUUGCAGGAUUGGGUGGACGAGGGUCGCCGCGCUGUCCAUUUUCGCCGAAGAUUGGGGCGGCGGCGGUGGGUUUCGCGUGAGAUGGGGAAGCGGCGACGGGAUGAGGGGAGGGGGCAACGGGAGGAGAAGGGUGUUUUUUCUUUUCGCGAAGCGGGACGUUGUGUAACUGGCGGUGGACAACUCUACGGUAGAUCUGAAACUAAGGUAGUGUUUGGUUGGCUCAAAUGUAACGUAAUCUGAUUACUGAAGGUAACAAAUCCCAUUACAUAUGUUUGGUUGCGGUAGUUUGUAAUCAAUUGACACUGUAAUCGAAUCCCUUACCUAAAUAAUAUCUAUACAAGCUUGUUACCCCUCCUCCCCCACCGUAAUCAGAUAUAGCACCCACACAGUAAUCUGAUUACGUUACCAGAGUGCAACCAAACAAAGAGAGCAAUCACCCAUUCCACCUCCAAAUACACUGUAAUCUGAUUCCCUUUACGUUUACAUUACCUUAGCACGAACCAAACACUAUCUAAGUGUUUUUGGGUACUUCAAGAAAAAUAUGUAUAUGUAUAUGAUUCUUGCUUCAUAUUUUUUCUGGAGCUGGACGUGUUUUGCAAGAAGUUUUAUGUAGUUGGUGGAACUGUUUUUAGUGGAGUGCGGCCACAUACCCUGCUCACUUAGUGUGGUUUUUUAGUAGAGCUGAGUAGAGAUAUGGUGAUUUACAACAUAAUUCAUAAUGAUUUAUGAUGGGAAUGUCAAACUCCGAAUGAUUUACGGGAUCGUUUCUAUAAGUUUCCAUCGUUCGGAACAGCUUGACCGGUUGCACUUUUCUAUCGGAGAGGUUGAUCGAAGGGGCAAUUUGACAGGUGACACCAACAAUCGCUGAGGUUAUGUGGCAAAACUAUCCACUCCACCUCAGCAAACAAAAAAAAGGGUGCACAAACAAUCGGCUAUUGUGUUUCCACUGCAAACCCUUUCAGAAGAAAAGAAAACAUCUCAUCAGUGAUUGUGCCAAAACAUCUAUCAUGCAUAUGCAUUCUACCUACUUCUGCACUUGCUGAAGGUUAAAGGAACACAAAGAAAUAGCUCACGUUUGCAUUUGUGCAAAAAUGCCAUAAUAAUUAAUAAGGGGUUUUACAUGCAAGUUGCCGUGGUGGACAGUAUAGAUCAUGACCCCUCAAUCAAUUUGGUUUGGCCCCUCCAUUACAAGAAGUUAUAUCUUUCCCUUCAGUUUUUAGCAAGUGGCCUACAGUGUUAGUACCAUUAGUAUAUUUUUCUAAAUGGCUCACAAUGUUUGUAGUGUAAUUUUUUAUCUUUAGCUACAGUUUUUGCAAUUGCCAACAAGAUAAUCCCACACAAACUCAUUACCCACAGUUUUUGUAACUAGUGACCUAAAAACAUUAUAACUGUUGGCCACUUAUAUAAGGAAACUGUCAGGAACAAUGCUAAGUUUUGUAGUGCUCAUGCGAUUUGGCAUUCUUAAAAGUAGUUCUCAACAGAUGAUAAGAUUUUAGCCUAGGUUUUACUUAGCAUAGCCUACAUCAAGUUAAAAUAAAGGGCCACACCCCUGCAUCUCCCUCUAUCUAAACGCAAUGAGACCGGGCCCCCUCUUAACAAUCGGCCCAAGCUCUAGCAUCGCAAGGGAUCCGAUCUCAUUUGGUGCUGCAUUUGUGCAACGUUGUACUAAAAUACAAAAAUUUAGUAUGUAACACAAAUUGUUAAUUUAUAUGUGUAUCUGUAUUACCAAAAAACAAAGAAUGAAAACAAAUGAAUCGUCUAGGAUAAUGGGGUUGUUCGCUUCAACUUAUAAGCCGGCUGAAAAGCUGAAAUGGCUGAUUUGUUGUGAGAGAAAAAUACUGUUUGAUGGCUGAUAAGCCGACUGAAUAAGCUGAAGCGAACAGGCUAAAUAUUCUGAAUGUGGAGGGCAGGAUGCACGUAUAUAAGAAAAAGGAGUAUCUCUGCACUCCCUCCGUCGGACACUGCUGUUUGAGACCUCAAACUGUCUGAGACCCUCCACCUAAGGGUCUAUUUGGUUUGAGUUGCUUAUGCAUAAGCAACUUAAAAUAAGCAACUUAUUUGCUUAUGAAACCAAUCACCCUUACUUAUUAGGUUGCUUAUGGGGACUAAAAGGUGCACUUUACACCUCCUACCCUCAUUCAAUGCACUCUACUCCUCUCUCUCUUUCUCCAAACAGCUAGGGGUAAAUAUGACAAUGUCCAACUCAUUCAAUGCUCAUAAGCAAGGGUAUCCAAACAACUAGACUAAAAAUAAGCAACUCCAAAUAAGCAACUUUAACCUAAACCAAACAUGCACUAAGUCCACGUAGGAUGUCCGUAUCCGCAGAGAUUCCCUUGACCAGGGACCACCCUGUUCCAUCUCAGCCGUCCACGUGCUCCUAUUUCAUUCCCAACGGCGCGAUCCUCGCCCAUUCACGGAAUACUUCACUUCACUCCCCUCCCCCGCGAGCAUGGGCCCCAGCGGAUCACCCUGCGUGCUGCGGCCCUGUCGCCGCGACCGCCGCACGUGGGGAGGCGCUCGCCGCAAUCAUUGCCCGCGCGCCGUCCAGCCGGGGCUGCUGGGCCGCGUGUUGAUCGAUUCCCUUGGUCCCUCCCCUCCCGCCCCGUAGCUUUCGAUUAGCGAUCUUGUUUGAUCCACUCUUCAACAUCUUCCCUUUCUUUUUGGUUUGUUUGAGGAAAGAUCGAUCUCUUAACCUAUGCACUGAUGGAAAAAUCCUUGACGAUUCUUUUCAUGAUGUUGACGACUGGCCAUGUCGUCUAAUCUCAACUUGUCUUUUUUUUUUUUCACACCAUUGGUGUUGUCAGGAUGCUACCUGGAACUAUAUAGCAACCAUCUCGGAGUACCACCUGUGACUCAAAACAAAUCCCAAAUCUCCCCUUCCCUCGCCUACUAAUUUUGCUCCUUCUGUUUUAGUUUUAAACAUUGGCAUUUAGGUAGGAUAAUCUAACUUGUUGGUUUUUAAGUUAUAAUUAGUUUGUCCUAAUUGAAUGUUAAGUUGCCAUAUAGCAGUUGCAUCUCAAACGACCUUCGUGUUUAUAAUUUGAGUCUAAAUAGUGAUGCACGAGAAGAUGGCCUAUCACACCAGCUCCCGCGACAGUUGUUGGAACAAUAAAGGCACAUACGAACGAACAUAUGUGAUGAAUAGAGGUUAUAGGAGUGGAAAUUCGAUGAAUUGGAGGAAUUAGCAUUGGUGCCUAAGGGAUGUCUUGAAGCUCAUAAAAUGAUGAGUUCGUUUACAUAUUUUAGAAAAAUGUGUUCCUGUAUCUAACAAGCUAGAUUUAUUUCAUGAGAUAAAUCCUUAUGCUUGCCAUAAAUUAUAAUUAGAGGCGCAACAAGCUAGCUGAGUACGUAGAUAAACUUUUAUUCAGACAUAGACUUCUUAUUAGUUCUGAUUCUGCAUGCAUUUACUUCAGCCCUAAGCCCUAUGGUUUGUUUACAUAAGAGUACAUGGCUUUGGAGAAAAGAAACAUCUUCUGGAGAUAAAGGAAAGUUAUCACGGAUUAUCCAUACGUCUAAGAUACUCUAACACUGUAUCUAACGGUGUGUCCGUAUGUACAUGAAACAUCGCGGUGAUGAAAUAGAUUUGUUCUUGUUCUUGCUAAAAGUGACUACGAGCCACUCAUCAUCCCAUAUGCGUAUUCAUCUCUGGAUCGGCAAAAAAAACGACCUGACACACCGUUGCAUUGCAUAGCAACCUUCGUAAACCACCAGUUGCGACCCUUGGAGGUUGUAAAGGGCAAUAUUAGCAGCAGGAAGCGGUGUCAGAAAAUGCCAUGAAUUAAUGUACCAUUGUACUACGGUAGCUAUCCUCGCGUCUUUGGCCCUUGGAGCUCCGAAGAGCAAAAUAGGAUGAUGCUGCCUGCAAGAGAAAGAAGCAGCGACUCAUUUUCAAAAAAAGAAGAACCAAGCGUGUAGUUUGAGACUUGCGAGUGCCUCCGGAUCGGAAGCAGAUGGACAACACUGCAGUCCGAGCGUUUAAUUUGGAAAAAAUAUACACGACCACAGUUCUAUGUGAUCUUCCUGACCUAACAAUUUUAAAGAUCAGGUUUAAUAGGGAGGGGCUAAAAUACUAUUUGCUAUAGUACUAAUUACUUAUUAUGUUAAAUUGUAAAUGAGGAGGCUUAAGGGCCAUAAUACAUUACCACCUCCAAUCUACUGCAUCAUACAGAUUCUUGAUCCGCCGGCAAAGCUUACAUAACGAGCAACGAGCUGACCUCUUGGCACAGGCUCCGCCGCACCUACACGCAUCAAAUUCAUGCCAACAUUUCCCCCGCCGUCUGCCGAUUGAUGGAAUUUCUACGAUGCGGGUGAGUGGACUAAGGUCCUAUUUGGAUACACUUCUUCUAAUCACGUUUGGAUUAUAAUCUAGGUGAAAAUUUUCUCACUUCUCGCUUUUUGUUUCUCAUAGUUUAAAUCUUUGAAGCGGCUUACUACAUAAGCGAUAAUCGGUAGAAAUAAGCAAAACGGUUGGCGGGAUUCUCACUUAUUUCCACUGAUAAACUUAAGCGGAAACAAACAGGAAUCUGCUGGGGCUGAGCGGGCCCGGUGGGGCCACUCGGAAUGAAUAAAGCGCCAGUACGUCCAAGUGUCUAGUGUCCAACCAAACUAGACCCACACACGGUGUGCGUGAGGAGGCUGUAAAAGAGCAAAAGCGAAAGCGAAAGUAGGGGUAGGCGGGGCCCGUGGACGAAUGGACGGCCCACAAGAGCACUUAGGCCGCGAGGUCCGGCCCAGUAUGAGCAAGAGCAGAAUGACAGGUCACCUACCAACCCAUAUGAGCACUCAGCCGCGCAGUCCGGCCCAGUGGUCGCUGGCUGGCCAUCCAGGCCCCCAUUCAAACCAAGGCCUUUUAGUUUACAUUCUGAAACCUAUGGGGUUUUUCUUUUCUUUUGAAAGAGAAAACCAACGGCUAGAGUCAGCGGUGGCCAAUGCUCUACCACGGUGCCACGUAGUUGGUGCCACGUUUUCGAAUCCUGCAUUCCGAUUCCAGCCUGAACUAAGCGGUAGGCUGAACACAUUUACUGAAUCGAUAUACCACUUAUUUGGUGUCUCUCUGGUUUAGUUUGGUCAUUAGAUUGUAUUUGGUUGGGACUCUUUAGUUUAACUUGUUCCCUCUUUAAUGUAGAGGAGGAGAAUGAAGCAGAUAGGUGGUGGGAAAAGAUAGGGCGCCUGCAUGUCUAAGAGUUCAUGUGAUCGUUUACCGUAGAACUAGUCAGCAACCUGCGACGAAACUGAAGUUUGGAGUGUCUCAUUUUACUUUUGUUUUGCAGUUUGCUUGCUUGGGUUUCAGCCUGGGCUGAGUACCCUACUAUGUUGGUUUGGGAUAGAGGCUCGACGCCUGUGUAUGAUUUAACGGUGUUCUGGUUAGCAUAGUCAAGGGAACAUGGGCAUCACUCUGGUGUUCUUGUCAUGUUUCGGCAUAUUAGUUGUCUUGCUAGUGCAUGACUUAUCAUGGUUUUCAAGUUUGUACACUGUCUUGUCGCCCCUUAGCUGCAAACCAAAACCAAACACACCCCUGCAUCCAACCGAAGUAAGUCUGCAAUCAGUGAUUCUACCAUCAUCACCUGAUUCCAUUUCCCUUCACGUUACCUGAGCGUGAAUCAAACACUCUUAACAGUCAGCAACUAAAAUAUUUUAGUAUAAAGUGAAUCCCAAGAGAGCCAACUGGUUACGACAAUUGACAAGUGAUAACUAAACACGAACAGCUGACAAAAGCACACAGCCUACAGCUCCAGCUGCCAGUAGGGAAAGAAAAGUACCUUGGCAUUUUCUGCCAACGGAAACAAGCAAACUGAUAAAACGCUCUGCAUUUUUUCUUUUAUACAAGGACGCUCUGCAUUGUUAUUGCCCACAUGGAGAAAUUAUGAACAUCGACAAUCUACCCGUUCACCAAUGUUUCCCCCAUAUAGUAAUCCUCCGUGAUGCCAUAGAUCACGAACCCAAAGGUUAACAAGCAUCCUCCUUGUAAGUUCAAUGUACUGAUCACACUAUAAGAACUGCAAGUGGUAGAAACAUUCUGCACAAUUGACAUAUAAUACAUGCUGUAUCGAUACAAUAAACAGUGUGUACAUCUUUCAACAACAUGGUUGCCAAAAUUUCGCCGGUGGGGACAAUGGGGGCGGCUAUCAACAACUGCUAUGUUACACAACCCGAGACCAGAUGCAGGAAGUCAGGAACCCAGCUGCAUCUCUCAGUUCUCUCUUAAAUUACAUCCCUCUUAGUGGUAAAUAAAUUCUAUCGCCAUCUAUACAAGACCAUC
rnacentral:lncRNA from 1 species